UUACACUUUUAAUUUCAUCAGUUUACCCUUGAACUCUUCAAUUUCUGUAUGCCGUGACCAAAUUCUCAUAUUCUGUUUAAAUUGACCGUUAAUUCUAGAUACGGGUCUCACUGUUAAGGUUAAAAUUGUCAUUUAACAAAAAAACUAGUGAAAAAAAAAAAAUCCUUCCUUUUUAUCCCUAACUAAGUUGAAAAUUUUCUAAACUUCGAGUACAAACGUAAUUUAACUCAUGAGAUUGGGUCAACGUCAGCAAUUAACGUCUGAUUUGGACAGAAGAUAGAACAUUAGUCACGAUUGAGAAAAAUUCAAAAGUUUGAAGGGUAAACUGAUGAAAUUGAAAAUAUAGGGAUUAACAUGAAGUUACUCUCAAACCUUAUGAGAGUAAACUGAAUUUAAUUCUAAAAGUAGUGUGGGAAAUUUCACUGUUGAGUGAAAAAUAGUCUGCAAAUUACCCACGAAUGCUUAUAAAUGUGGUUAGGUAUAUAUUUUAUUGCUUUUCACAUUGUCUUUCUAUUAUGAGAAAUUUUAAAUACACACCCCUAAUCUCUUAAUACACACCCUUAUUAUUUUAUGUUUCUAUUGAGAUUUUAUAGGUAAGCUAAAUGACCAAAAUAUACAUCUAUUAUUAAAAAAAAAACUCGCGCUAGAAGUAUUUUUUUCAACGUCUUCUACCCUAAAAUCGUUGAAAGCACGUCUUUUCCCUUAACCCCAGUUCUUCUCCACAAUUCAUUUGGGUUGUUCUUUUUUUUUUUUUGUUAUCCGUAUCAGCUUUAGUUUGAUCUUAUAGAUCAUAUUGUCAAAUACUGCAUCUUUAUCAGGUUUAAUUUGAUCUUGUAGAUCAUAUUGUUAAGUACUGCAUCUUUAUCAUGACAUGUUUUAUCGAAUAACUAGCUAUCUAUGUUUAAUAGGUAUUGUACUUUUACAGUUGUACUAGCUUGUGAAUUUUGAAAACUUGUAUUGGUGAUUUGGAGUUGAGAUAUAACAAUAAUCAUUUGAUUAUAAAUUGAACGAUGAUAACAAAAAUUAGACGAAAUAAUAUGUAAAAAGAGAUACCAAAUAGUAAAUAUAUAUUAAUUAUAUUAAAUAACGGAAUAUUUCAUAAAUUAAGGGCAUUUGAAGCAUUUUGGGAUGUGUAUUAAGUAUAAUACUGAAAUGAAAAAUUUGAUAAGUGGUGUAUUAAAUAAAGGAUGUGUAUUAAGAUAUUAAGGGUGUGUAUUUAAAAUUUCUCUACAAUUUCUAUGAUGCAACUUUUAGACCGUUCACAUCUACCAGACAAUGACCGAUAUCAAAAACUUUUAUUUCCACGAGUAAUAGUGAAAAAGAUUAUAUUCUAAUCUUAGUUAGUUGCCUUCUCUCUAGGACCAUGAAAAUGAUAUGGAAAUAGAAAGAAAUUGAUGCUUUUAUUUUGAUCCCUUAAAAUGAUAUGCCUAGAACUCGAAAGAAAUGUCGAAGUUCUUAUCGAUCAGUGUUUAAUUUGAAGGCUAAAAGUAAUCAUAUUAUUGCAUUAUAAGCAUUACAAAUUGGCGAUGCCAACAUGCACUUGCACGUCAUCUCCUCUUCUGCUUUGAUUAUAUUCAUGGUACGGAUGUAUAUAUGCCUUUGAGCCUUUCUGCAAAUGGAAUAUUAUUCCACUUAGUAUUUAACUUUAAGAACCAUUAUAAAUACAAACUACGAUCAUGGUGAUUUUCAUCAGACCUAGCUAGGUAGUUGUCAAAUAUACAUAUGCAUCUAUUUCUAAUAUAGUUGAGUACUUGACCGAUCGAGAUCUUAGUUAGUGCUUUUCGUGGGAGUCGUAUUGAGCGCUUAAGGAUCGGGUAAUCUGCAUCCUGAGGUUUAGAGCAGCUGCAUGUCAUAUAUCUAUGUUUGUGUCUAGCCCUUGGGAUGCAGAUUACCUCAUCCUCAUCCUCAUUGGCAAUGCAAGACUUAUUAUUUGUUAUAUUGUUCAUUCAUACUUAAGUAGUUAAGGUUUAAACGACCAAAUUAUAUUUGUUGUUUCUAGCCCUUGGGUUGUAGGCUCCUGCCAUGCUCCUCAAACAGAUAAUUUUCUUUCUUUUCCCAAUUUUCGAAAUUUGAAAUUCAAAGCCGAACAGAUAAUUAUGCUGAAAUAUCUCUUUAAUUUGAUUUUCAAACGGUCUCAGGAGUAAUCAUAUAUAACAAAUGGUUGGUUUCCAUAACAUCAUCAGACGUUUUAUAUCCGAGAUCCUGUUUGUGUUCUUCUUAGAGAAUUACACUUGAUACAUUCGUAGGAGCUCUCUAUUAUUGGCCCGGUGCUUGUAGAACUUGGUUUACGAUGGACGUACUUUGGUGGUCGGAUCGAUGCCUGCUGCAAGAUUUAGCUAGAGGCCCUUGAGUACCGGUAGCCUGCAAACCUGCAGCUUCUACAUGGUGUUUCGUUUCAAGUGAGCAUCUUUUUAUUUUUGUAAUUUUCUUGUAUCAUACGUACAUUUGAACUUAAUCACUCAUAUAUAUCAUAUCAAUCAGUUUUAAAUGUAUUUCUUACCUUAAGCUUAUCACCUGAUUUGCCAGGGGACGCGUCAUUCCUUGCUCUGUAUUUUUCUCUAUGCAAUCAAAAUUUAAGUUUCUCAACCGUUAAGAAUUCUAGCGGGCGCCUCUAAAUUUUUCAGUCAGUCACAAAUAAUCGUAGUUACAAAUUUAGAAGUAGCUAUUCACCAUUAAUGGAGGAAAAAGUUCAUUGAAAGUAAGACCAACGAGAUCCGAAUUCCAAUAUGGCUUUGAAGCUAACUUUGGUGAGUGUAUGUACAUCUAUCAUCUAUGAAGCCAUAUUGAUAUAACGUUAAUUACUUGGGUGUUGAAAUUAACCCAACUGGAAUGAAAACCAAAUUACCUCUUAAACAACUCAGUGAUUACGAGAUUCAUGUUUUCAUGAUUAGUGUUUAUAUAUACUCGUUGGGAUUAAUCUGCUGAAACAUGUAUCUCCUAGCCUGAUCGAUCAUUAGUACAUAUGUAUCUUCACUAUUACAAAUUUCCUGAUAAACAAAUUUGUUUGUAGGAGUGUUUUCUUUUUUCUUUUCCGAUUAACUUAAUUGUAUUGAUGUUGAUUUAGUUAAAGGAAACCUGGAAAAAAAAUGAUAAUUUGUUGGGUCGAUCUAUUAGAGCAGCUCUCUACUACAUUGCAAGAGUUAUUUGGAUUCAAAUCCUCGAGUACAUUUAGGGAUAAACAGUUUUACUUAACUUUUAAAAGUACUAUUUACCAUCUAAAACAUGAUGCUAAUUAAUGUCAUAAAAAAAAUCUCAGAAUGAUACUCAUUCUCUUUUGCCAUCGAAUCAAUAAGAAUUCAUAUUAAAAUGAGAAACAAACACUACAACCGAAAGAGCAAAACAGACACAACAACACCUAAAGACACUUGAAUAUUUCUUGAAACAAGAAAUUUACAAGAAUUGGUUAGGCACUCUAUAACUAAACCCAAUACAACACUUAAAUUAGCAAUAACAAAAUUAAAUUAGCGAUAACAAAAUUAAAUUAGCAACAAACAAAGAUGAUAAACAAAUCACCCAUCUUAAUUUUGACUAGCUAGCUAGAAGAUUCAGCGACUCUUGUUAUCAGCCAAUAUUUCAGAGCAACUUAGCAAUGUUGUCCUUGAGCAAUGGCUUCGACUGGAAAUCUUGAUUAUUUGCUAGGGUUUCAACAAAUUCUCUUGAAACCAAGCACUUUUCUUCCGAGUACAACUUCUCCUGAACAAUUGGGGAUGCAAGAACUUGGAGACCUUCCUGAUUAUGCAACCCAUGGCCUUUAUUUGCCUGCAACAACCAAUUAAUGUCUAAAUCAUUUGAUCUUCAAUAAAAAGGAAAAACAAUAAACAAAACAACUUAUUUCAUCAAACAGUUACCUUCACUGAAUCCAUGAGUUUGAGCAUCGCAACUUGUGCCUGCAAGAAUUUGAUGUACUUAUAAGCAGCUUGGAACAUUUCAGCAGUAUUCAUCUUGCUCCCGCAGGGAACCAGCUUCCCAAGCUCAUUAGUCUUCUCUGUUAUCCUCCUCCUCCUCUCGCGUGCCGCAAUGCUCUGUGGAGACAAGCUCACUCCUCCAUUACUGUUGGCCUUCAUUUUCGGCUCGGUACUAAUAACCUCAUUGCUUAGUCUAUAAUUAGCAUACAAUUGGGCUGCUGGCUGCUGUUGAAUCUGAAAUUCAGGAGGGGGCAGAGGUAGUUGAGGCCGCACCAACUCCGGGAUGAAACUUGGAUUUGGGACAAACCCAUUGAAGCUGGGAUGGAAUUGCUGUUGGGUUUUCUGGCGUUUUGGGUACUCAUCAUGAUAAUAGUAUUCAUGAUCGUCAAGAAGGAAAUCUUGGUCACUGAAAAAUGAUUGGGAGAGAAGUAGUGGGUUUGGAUCGUCAAGAGAGCUAGCUAUGCUGUAGUCCAGACCCAAGAUACUUGCUGCUGCCAGCUCAUCCUGUUGGGUCUGGAAGCUAAACAUUUGAUCAUAAUCUGGGUUAGGGUUGGGGUUGUUAUUGAGAAGCUGAAGAGACCCCCAGUCUGAGCAAAAUGUAGUACUCAUAGCAGUCAUGGGAAGUUAAACUAGAACCUGAAAUGAAGUAAUAUACAUUAGCAUGUAAAAGAGGAAACUUAACCUUCAAAUGAAUUAAGACAUUCUCUGAGGUAGAGAGAGAUAGAUAGAGAAAUACCUGAGAGAAUUAGACUCUUUGUGUCUGCGGACCUUUCUGGUUUUUGAAUUGCAGUGGACCUAAAGACUAGCAAAUAACCGACUUAAACAAACACCUGCCUGCUGACUACUCUACUACUCGAUCUGCUAUAUAUCACUGACACACGCUCAUCAACUGUUUAACAGUGAGAGAGAGAUAGAGAGGAAGGAAGAGAGAGAUAGAGAGAAAGGGAGAGAGAUGCGGGAAGGUGGGCAGUUGGUUUCAUUUCUUCAGGCGCAGAUAAAGGAGGCGACGAUGAUAACCACCAUCACCAUCUCCUACUUGCUAGCAUACACUAACCCCUGAUUUGAGUUCUAAUUCUCUAGUAUCAGAGUACCAUGUAUCUCUGGUGCUAGGCAAUAGAAUAGGAACACCUCUUCAAGGGCCAGAUGCGAUUGGCAAAUCAAAAGAAAGACGAUACAAGAUUGAUUAUGAUUAUCAAAAUAUAGACUACGUGGAGUAAUCAGAUCGUUUUGGAUCACAAAUAUAUGGACUAUGUGAUAAUGCCCUCCCAUUAAACCCUAACUCCCUUUUAUUUCUAGGGUUUUAUUUCGCUCUAACCGUUAAUCCGUUACGAUUGAUUACUCAUUUGAUGGCGGCUGUUAAUUCGAUCACUGUAUUUACACAAUAAAUUCUUAAUUAACGUCCUAUUGUAUUGAUAUUGGUAGUUUUGUACGUACGUUGAUUGCAGAUGGAAAUUAAACCUUCUUUUUAUGAUGUUUUUGUAACUUGCAUUCAAUUUCAUUGAAGAUCCUCUGAGGACUGUGGGAGUCUGAGCUCGAUCAUUAACAAAAGAGCUGGUAGCUAGAUCGAUCAAUAUGCCAUUGCCAUUGCAAAUAUUCCUAACCAUUUCAAUAUGGGGCGCCUUUCAAAUUACCAAGUAUCAAGGAAACAGUUUUGUUCGUUUUGUGACAAUAGCUUUAGACUUUCAAUGCCAGAUGUAUUAUGUAUAUAUCAGUACUCGAUUACGACUUCGGUCUUGGAUGAAAUAGUUGUGAGGAAAUGGACGUUGUUUUUUUGUUGCUCAGUUGCUGUAGCUACCAUGUAGAGAGAUACAACUGUGCAGAAGAUUAGUGUAUGAAAAUUAAUAGUCUCCUAGCCUCAGGUUAGUUGAUAAUAUAACGUACACUUAUACAUAUGCUUGAGUGAUUUGUGUGUUUGUAUAUACUUGCUUGUAUUCAUGCUCUAACACAAUACUUACUAAUUAACAAUAAUUCCUCGGUAACAAAUAGUUACUCCUUUACUAAUGUGCAACGAAUAAAGUUUCUUAUAAGAAAAUAACAAUGACUCACUUUAGUCAAACACGAAUUACAUAUUACAAGAAAAGUCUGUUUACGUUUACUGAUUUGAAGAUGCGACUUUAACGUUGUCGAUUAUAUUGUUAACUAUCUAACCAAUCAUGUCAUAAUUCAUCGACAAAUAACAAAUUUGAUGAUUUAUUGUGUUUACGAAAUUUCAGUCGCAUCAAAUAUUUUAUUGCCCUGCUCUGCGAAUCUAACUCUUCCAAAUUUGUUCGGAAUAAAAUUCUCUUCCUUCUUUUGGCAAAACAAAAUUGAUAAAAAAAAAAAGAAAAAAAAAAUACUCAUCUGGUACACACAUGGGGAUAGAACCGCUUUGUUUCUUGCAGCUUGAAGUUGAAGCUGCAACCCAAAAACCUCCAAAACCCAGAACCAGAAACCAAAUAUCUUCCCUGUUUCAAAAGAAAGAAACAAAACCCAGAACCCAACAAUGCUCACCACUCUCUCAAGUCUCUGCCUUUGUCGUCCUCUCCGCACUUCACUCUUCUUCUCCACCCAAAACUUGCUGAGUACUCCCAUAUCAUCAUCCAGUACUUCACUUCAUAUUUGGUCUUGCACUUCAUCCAGUUCCACCCAGAUCCAGAUUGCACCAGGUUCACUUUUGUCAAUCCCAAAGCCUCAUCAAAUGCCUUUUUUUUGUUACAAUUCAUGACUUGGGCCGUUGUUGUUUUUGAAGCUACUGUGGAGCAGAAUGAGGAGCAGAGCACUGGUGUGCCUAAAGUUGAAAUCUUGAAGCAGAAAUUGGACCUUCUUGGGAUUGUCUGUGACAGUUCUUGUGUGCCUGGACACUAUUGUAAUCUACUGUGUCCCAAGGUAUUGUCUUUAAUACUCAAUUGUGAUUGUGUAAUUUCUAUUAGUAUUGUGUAAUACUGAUAUAUAGUUAUGUUGGUUUCAUGUUGGAUCUUCAUAAUGGCAUUUGAAUUUUCCCAUUGUUUUGCUUAAACAGUGCAAUGGUGGGCAGUCACUGGAGAGGAGCUUGUCUCUUUACAUUGUCCAAAAAGGGUAUAAUGCCGAUUCUUCUAGUCCUUUUAUAAGUGUUAAGUGUGUUGUAAUUGGUUUUGUGAUUGUAUGCGACAGGGAUUUGGCAAGGUGGAGGUGUUUUCGGACUGAGUGUAAUUGGGCAGACAAGGUAAGACAUUUUGACUAUGUAAUUAUGUUUUUAUAUACCAAUCAUUUCAAGAACUUGGAAGUCAUGACAUAGGAGACAAGUUACUUAAACUGACCUACCAAUGUUCUAGGUGUUUUUAGAAGGCAAGGCAGGACACGAUGAGGUGAAGCGGAAGAUAGAAUUCCAGCCGUUUAGGCAAAUGACAGUGGAAGGCCUCAGGCUAGUACCAAUAGGAGAAGAGGUACUGAAACUGACCUAAGAAGUGCGGAUGCAAGUUCAUGCUGGCAUUCGAAAAAUCUAUAAUUCAAUUUGCCUGUCUCGACAUGUCCUGUUCAGAUAUUAGAGUUAUUAUGAUGGCUUGUUCUUUGCUGUCAUACAAUAGAUGGUUAUUUAGGACUAUGGUGGUUAACAACUAAGGGUUUCUUUGAGUUCCUACUGUAAAUAACUAAACAUAUGCCUAAACCAGGAGUACCAUAUGAUUUAAUUACUUAAUAGACGUGCAAAUGAUGCAGUAUUCUUGUGACUAGAUAGUAUUUUCUGAGAUAAAUAAUCACUCUUGCAUUAUUCAGAUAACAGCUUACUUCAGAGAGCGAAAGAUAUCUGCGGAAACUCUGUGGAGAAAUGCUGUAAUGCAACUUUCUAAGGAGGUGCAACGCUCUAAGGAGGUACCGAAACUUAUCAAUUGCUGGAACUACAGUAUACUUAUGAUGAGUGACUCUGAAUAAGUAUUUUUGUUAAAUUAUUUACAAAGAAUUGUGCACACAGGAGCAUCAAUGAAACUAUUUUUCCAUGCAAACCCUGGAUAUUCUAUAUGGUUGUCAGAAUCCUCUUACAGUCUUAAACUUCCUGGUGUGAUGUCAUUGAUUUCUUGAAUUAACUGCGAGUUGGAAACUUAGUGUGUUUUUGCCAAGCUUGUCAUUUCCUUCCAAGAAAACCAAUUCAGAUAAAACCCCGUUUCUGGAAGAUUGGCAGAAGAUUGUUGAGUCCACUUCUCAAACACAUAUAUCCUCAACCAUGACAUAAUUUGAGAUUGUCUUUUUCCAACAAAAUAAUACUCUAAAUAUUCUAAAUUGCACCCACUCAGAACUUUCCUCUUAAUUUAAUUGUUUGUAGCACAAACCACUUAAUCUAUAUUCAGGAUACACAGGAAACAUCUGAGUUUGUUUUAAUUUCUAUAAGGGAAUAACAGAAUAUGGUUUGCUAUCCAUUUAUUAUCAACAGAAUAACCCUGUUCAUUGUUGGAAGCUCUUAUAUUUUUCUAAUUCAAGCACUAACCAAUGCAUCACACAUAAUUAUUAUGGCUUUCAAGAUCUUCAAAGAGGUUGGUCUUAAAACUGCUGAAAUUUUGCAGGAUGUCAUUGCAUUUACUUAUAGACACAAGGGACUACUUGUCGGUUGCAAGUACCGGACCCUAAAAAAACGAUUUUGGACGGUAAAUGUGCCUAAAUUUUCUUUGAAAUUUGGAUAAUAGUAUGUACUUCUACGAAGUGAAUCAAAUGUGAAUGCCUUCUAAUUGGAAUUUGUUGAAUUCCUUUUAUAUGAUAAUCAGGAGAGGGGUUCAGAGAAGAUAUUAUACGGAAUUGAUGAUAUAAAUGAUGCAACUGAAAUUAUCAUUGUGAGUUCAAUUUUCCGUUAUUUGUUUGGUUUCCUUCUCUCUUCCCCUCCCACCUUACUUCUGUGAUUCAUGUGCUGCUCUUAGGUUGAAGGUGAAAUAGAUAAGCUUUCUAUGGAGGAAGCUGGCUUCUUCAAUUGUGUGAGUGCUCCUGGGGGUGGAGCAGGAAAGGAUUCUCCUAUAUUGCCCUCUAUAGAGAAGGUGUGGGUUGAAUACUCUAGAGUCUAGAGCCUGCUGUUUGUAGGCUAGAGAUUUUAUUUUUAUUUUUUCUUUGGUUAUUUCAAGUGAGAAAUUUAACGUGGUAUAUGCAUCUGCUUUCUUCUCGUAACAAGUGAUUGAACUGCUGAACUCUAGGACUUUAAUAAAAAAACUGUGUUUCUAUGUCAAAUAUGAAGAAAAGAUAAAAAUAAUGUGGACGAGUUCUUUCCUCACCACGCAGCUCAAUAGGUCUAUACAGAAUUACAGAGAUAGAUGCAUGGACUACUUGCAUGGUUGCAUAUGCGUGAGCUGGUAUAGCAUUCAUGAGAUGUUUAUAUUGUCUUGGAAUAUCAAAUCUUCUAAUCAGGGAAAGAAAAAAAAUGUUUCUUCAUCAAGUGUUAUCAUUCUCAUGUUUGAGUUUAGUUGACAAUUAUCACCCUUGUUUUUUUCAUUAUACAAGCUUUGAUUGUCAGAAUGGGGUUUUGUUAACUUGCUUUCAAAUAUCCAUUUCAAUUAGGACACGACAUUUCGGUACCUGUGGAAUUGCAAACAGGAGUUGGAUAAGGUUUGUAAACUGUUACUACUCAUUCAAAUAAAAUUCCUUUGAAUUGUUGUUUGACUCGCUACUUGUUAGGUUUCUCGGAUUAUCCUGGCAACUGACAAUGAUGCAACAGGCCAAGCUUUGGCCAGAGCAUUAGCACGCCGCCUCGGGACAAAUAGGUUAAGUUUCUGUUGUAUUUGUCAAAUCUAUUAAUCUGUAUGUACGAUAAUAUUUUGUAUGCAACUUGUUAGAAGAGUGGCUUUUAUUUUCAUUUUAAAUUAUUGGUGGGAACUGAAAUAGUGCUACGGAGUGCGAGUUUCAAGACCACUGCAUUAAUUGUUAAAAUUCAUGAAAACUACUGAACAUAAACAAUUUCCUAAACUUGGCUCCUUGAUUUUUCUUUCUGCAAUACCACACCAUUGUAGCUUGUAGAUGUGCUUCACGAAAUGCUUAUUCUGGUAUUCCUUGAAAAAAAAUAGCAAAGGGGAAUAUGCUGUAUUAAACAUGGAUGCUAUACAUAAUACAUCUGUCCACUUAUUUCUUUUUACUUUCAUUGGCUGUCAGAUGUUGGCAAGUAAGCUGGCCAAAGAAAGAUGAAUCCAGCUGUUUCAAAGAUGCUAAUGAGGUUUUCUGCUUCCACUCUUUUCUCAUACUCUAACAACUGUUGUUUUUAAUCUGAAAAUAUGUCUGUGAUUUCUUUGUAGUUACAUUCUACCUAAUUAUUGGCUUACGGAUGCAGGUUCUCAAAUAUAUGGGUCCUGAUGCUUUGAGAAGGGUAAUUGAAAGUGCAGAACCAUAUGAGCUAUGCAUCUCAGAGACUGUAGUAUAAAUUCAGACUUCAGAUUGAUCAAGUAUAUGCACAGGUAGAAACACCGGCUCGUAGCACACAAAGUAAACUUGAAGGUUGUAAAGUUUUCCCUGGAUUUGACUUAUCAUUGCAACAGGGAUUCCCUUUGGUUUAAUUGAAGAGAAGAAUAGAGAAGAUUAACAAUCACCUACUUAGUUUGUAUAGGACAGAACUUGCAAAAUUGCAAUACAAAAUUUACCAGAUUGGGAAAUAGAAAUAGGUUUAAGUUAUGGGACUCAACACCCAAAUCAUUUUGUAAAUUAAACUCUUAGCCCUGCAAAUUGGAAUUAAGCCUCAUUUUGGAUUUGCUUAGUUGGCUAAUCAAAAGUUUCAUUGAAAAAUCCUACCAAUCAAAAAUGGGAUUACUUGGGUCCACCUCAGGUUGAACCUAACAAGCUUCUACCUCAUAGUCAUAGUACUCUUAGAACUACUGGUUUUCAAGACAAUCUGUUCAAACCAAAUUUAAGCUUGCAGACUUGUAGAGUUGUAGUUAUUCAGUAUAUUGUAUUAAACAAAGGAACUCGAAUAAAGUCAACUAUGGUCAGACGGUAGGAGAGUGGAGGGGCAAAUUUGCUUUCAGACUCUGAAAGUACUCCUAAUUUAAUUGGGAAAUCAUGAUGUGACUGGAAGUAGAACAAUAUUGUUGAUUGACUGAGAUGUUGAUGCCCAUUAUCUGGAUUCAGAAGGGAGGAUUUUGCGAGGAUUUUCCAAUGAGAUUUCAAAUGAUAAUGCAUUUCGUUCUGCAACUUCAGUUUCCUCUGAGAGAUCAGAAUGGCAACAUAAAAUGCUCAAGGAACUUGUAGUUUUAUCAAUUCAAGGUCCUAAGUAGCUCAUCCGACCCAGUUAUGUCAAUCACUGUCAUUGAUUUCUCCUGGUUGAUUUACAUAGGUUGCAAUCUGAUGUUAGGUUCCCUCCCAUCAGCUUCAUGUUGCAAAUACAGGAUCUUCCAUUCUCUGUCGUAUAAUAUAUCUAUAGCAAGGUUAUAGUAUACUGUAUGCCUUCCUUCACUGAAUCACUGCUAUGUUUGGCUUUGUGAAUGUUUCUAAGAAACAGCAGAGAAAACGACUUGCCCCGAACCACGAACGGACUCAUCAGUCGAUGUGAUUUACUCUAGUUUUAUUCUGUAUAAUAAUGUAUAUCAAAUAAAUACAUUUGUAUCAUAUACCGGAGUAUUACAUCUCCAAAUCAAUCUUUGCUUCGAGUUUCAACCAAGCUAGAACAUGUCUGUAAUAAGAGAAUGAAGAAUGUUUGAUUGCCUUACCUGAAAAAAAUAAAUUAAACCCUCACUGAUUCCUUGAUGAAUCGAAAUCAUGGUUUCCACGGCGUCGGUUCGAGAGAUUGAAAAUUCCAAGCGAACAGAAGAAGAGAAGCAAACUGGAGAAGAAGCAACAUUGCGUUUUGCGAAGAACAGUCGAAACUCGAAACUAAAACACUAACACAUAAGGUAAAAAGUUUAUAUUACCUCCAUGAUCCAAUUUAUUUACGGACGCGUUUCCCAACGUUCUUGACACGUCUCUGGCCGUUUACGACACGUUUUCGAGAAUAGAUUCUGAAUCUACAGAGCACUAGGUACGCAAUGGUAUGGCCAGAAAAGGCUGUUGAAGGACAGAGACUGCCGAAUACGACCGCAUACGUCUCCAUAAAUAAAUCGGAUACCUGGGGACAGUAAUGACGUUUCGUCUCUAAAGUGUAGCUUAAACACUAACACUAAGGUCAAAAGUCUAUGUUACCCCAUGUUCUAAUUUAUUUACGAACGUGUUUCGGGCCGUUUACAAUGCGUUUCCGAGAAUAAAUUCUAAAUCUACAGAGCACCAGGUACGCGAUGAUAUGGCCGGAAAAGGCUGUUGACGGCCGGAGACUGCCAAAUACAGCUGCAUAUGUAUUCGUAAAAAAGUUAGAUACUUAGGGGCGGUAAUGACUUUUCGUCCCGUUAAACUAAACACUAACACACAAGGUAAAAAUCCUAUAUCACCCCCAUAUUCCAAUUUAUAUACAGACACGUUUCCAAACGUUUCUGACACUUUUUCGGCUUUUUCUGACACGUUUCUGGUGUAUCAGAGAACAUAUUAUGAAUAUACAAGGAACUAGGUAUACGCGAUGGUAUGGCCGGAAAAGACUGUUGACGGCCAGAGACUGUUGGAUACGGCUGUAUACAUAUCAGUAAAUAAGUCAGAUACCUGGGGGCAUGGGCAUCAAUGACUAUUCGUCCCUAAAGUGUUAAGCUAAACACUCAAACAUUAAGCUGAAAAGUUUGUAUUACCCCCACGAUCCAAUAUAUUUACAGACGUGUUUCCGGUAUUUUCAAGAACAGAUUUUGACCCUACAAGGGCGGGUACACGAUGGUGUAGCCGGAAAAAGCUGUUGACUGCUGGAGACUGUUGGAUACGUAUCCGACUAUCCGUAGAUAAGUCGCAUACCCGAGGGCAGUAAUGACUUUUUAUCCCUAAAGUGUUAAGCUAAACACUCACACACACUAAGGUGAAAAGUUGGUAUUACCCCAGGAUCCAAUUUAUUUACAGACGUGUUUGCAAACGUUUUCGAUGCGUUCCCGACCGUUUCGCGUUUCCGGUGUUUCUGUGAACAGAUUCUGAAUCUGCAGACCAGGUACGCGAUGAUAUGGCCGGAAAAGUCUUUUGAUGGCCGGAGACUGCCGGAUACGCCUAUAUACGUAUCCGGAAAUAAGUGGGAUAUGUGAGGCCAAUAAUGACUUUUUAUCUAUAUACCUCAUUUCACUUCCUUCUUCUAUCAAAAUCUCAGCUCCUCUCAACCCAUCUCUGCAGAAACCAUGGACGUUCUCUCAGUCUCGUCCCCUCUCUUCUCCUCAACCCCCAAGCUCUCCCACACCUUCUCCCCAAAACCCAUCUCCCUCUUCCCCUCUUCCUCAUCUUCACGCCUCCCCACCAUCAAAUCCGUCUCUCUCCAAACCCCAAAACCCUCCUUCUCGUUCUCCAAGGCCCACUCAACUAACCCUUCCGUUCUUCUCAGCUCCGCGCCCCAGACGCCGGCGACGGCCAUGAGAGGCGCCGAGGGCGACGCCAUGGGGCUGCUGCUGAGGGAGAGGAUUGUCUUUUUGGGUAGUAGUAUUGAUGACUUUGUGGCUGACUCUAUUAUCAGCCAGCUGCUUCUGUUGGAUGCUCAGGACCCCAAGAAGGAUAUUAAGCUCUUUAUUAACUCCACUGGGGGCUCUCUCAGGUUUGUAUUGCUCUUUUCGCAUCUGGGUUUGUUUCAAUUUUAUGUUUUGUUGGUUGAAUGAUAUAAAGAUGUUAGCUUUUUCGACUUGAGAACAGUUGUGAUUGGUAAAGGACACAUUUUUAGAUUGCAUUUCAGUCAUUUGGGCUUGACAAUUUAUGAUAAAAAGAACCAUUGAAAUUGUUGUUUAUGUGUAAUGAGGACUUGACGGCGUGGUGCUAGUUGAUUGUUUAUGAUAAUAGAGUAAGGUGCAUGUAUUGGGUGAGAUUGAGAAGUAAAGUGGAAUUUGAUUUUAGUAUUAGACAGGGUUCUAAGACAGGUAAGUGCCAUUAUGGCAUUGUGGCAAGGACACACUUUACCCUCCCACGCUAGCGCUUAGGAUUCCAGGUUGUUGUCCCUUAGUGGUCGAAGUUAUUUGUAUAAACAGACAUAUGUGUUAUCCCGUGUCCUUCUCAUUUAUCACUUGAAGAGAAGUAACCUAAGAUAUCCGUAGUAAGGUAUGAGUAAGACCGAAGCUUAAUCAAAUAGGGGAUGUCAUGUCUUGUAGGAUUUAUAAUACCCUUUGGCCUUGUGGGAGUUACAGUUCAGAGUAGUUUAGCAGUUGUAGUCCACCUCAGGUGGAGGUGGAAUGUACAGAGAAAAAGUUGGUGAAGGGUGACACCUAGAGUCGGGAUGGAUGAUGAUUAUGCUAUGAUGGUGCUGUUUGCAUUUAGCUCAACCUUAAACUCUGAGGUGGAAUGUAUAGAGAAAAAGUUGGUGAAGGGUGACACCUAGAGUCGGAUGGAUGAUGAUUAUGCUAUGAUGGUGCUGUUUGCAUUUAGCUUGACCUCUCAGGUGGAGGUGGAAUUUAUGGAGAAAAGGUUGGUGAAGGGUGACACCUAGAGUCGGAUGGAUGAUGAUUAUGCUAUGAUGGUGCUGUUUGCAUUUUGCUCGACCUUAAACUUUUUGUGCUUAACAGAUGAAUGGGUUUGUUAGCAUGCAUGCACAGCUGGGUGACUCGCUCACUGGAAUCACCGAAUGCAUAAUAAAUUUAAUUGCAAUGGAUGAAUCAUGAUCUUGUAACAUAGGGACUAAAGAUCUUGCUUAACUAUCAUCUUGAGCUUUGUUCUUCUGUAUAUGCUUCAUUGUUCCCUUGCUGCAUGUCCUUGUUGAUUUCUGACUUGCCUUUUUUCUGUUAUGUCAGUGCCACAAUGGCCAUAUAUGAUGUCGUUCAGCUUGUGAGGGCUGAUGUCUCUACAAUUGCGCUCGGCAUUGCAGCAUCUACAGCUUCAAUAAUCCUUGGUGGUGGCACCAAAGGCAAGCGUUUUGCAAUGCCCAAUACACGGGUUAUGAUUCAUCAACCUCUUGGAGGAGCUAGUGGCCAGGCAAUAGAUGUAGAAAUUCAAGCUAGAGAAGUGAUGCACAAUAAAGACAAUGUCACAAGAAUUAUCUCAAAUGUUACUGGUCGUUCAUAUGAGCAAGUUGAAAAAGAUAUUGACAGAGAUCGCUACAUGUCCCCCAUAGAAGCAGUAGAAUAUGGAAUAAUUGACGGAGUUAUUGAUGGAGAUAGCAUUCUUCCUCUGGAGCCAGUCCCAGACAAGGUAAAACCAAGAAUGAGUUAUGAGGAGAUUAGUAAAGAUCCAAUGAAGUUCUUGACACCAGACGUCCCUGAUGACGAGAUAUAUUAGUUUUGGAACAUUUGAGCGAGAGGUACACCAGUCUGACUUCUUUCUGAUUAUGUGUUAAUUGCAUAUAAGUUUGUGCCAAGGCCUGAUAUUUGAAAACCCAACAUUUAUGUAAUUAAACCAUAAAAGCAUUGAUGCUUUUUUAUUCCAAAGUUUCAGUAGUUACUUCAGUUUUUCUCUUUAAUAAAACUCCUACUUUUAAGUUUUUUGCUCUGAACAUGAUGAGUUAAAGAUGGUUUUGAUUUUAUGUUAUUGGCUGGGAGCCUGGGACAUGUGUUUGAAGGUUCUGGAUUUGGUUGAGAGUGCCUGGGAAGUCAUGGUCUUUGAAGCAGGGAUUCCUCUUCGAAUUGGUUACAUUAGGUUUUCAAAAGACCAACUGGUGGUGCAUGCGAAAACUCUCAGCAUCAAACCAGAAAUGUCAAGCUAUUCUUCAAUCAGAAAAUCCUUGCUGAGUGAUAUAGAUUGCAGACGUCCAACUGCAUUGGCGUGUUGCUAAGAUAGUUGUUUGCCUACAAGUUGCAAACUCACAAUAAGUGGUUUUGGUAUUUCCAUGAAAAAUGAGAACCGUCUAGUCUUCGAUUAAGUUUUGGUAUUUAUAUAGAUGUAUCCAUCAUAGUUUGCAUUUGCAAAGCUUUAAUCCAAUUUGCUUGUCAAAGACUCAAAUGGUAAGAAGAAAAUGCUAUUAUCUACAGCAAAUGCCUUAACACUUAACAAAGGCGUUAUUUAGUUUACAUAUUUGUAUGUUAAUUUGCUUUUCCCUAUACUUCUCUACAAUUUGAAAUAAAACGUACUCGUGAACCAAAAAGAAAUAUAAAUCUAACCGAUGAUAUAUGAUCACAUUCCUAACAUGGCAACCUGAAUGACAGAUGAAGUAUAGUUAUCUUAAUAGUAAAAUCUUGACUUGAUUAGGAGAGGUAAACGGUAAACCCUAGUAGAAGGGGCUCUUGCAAAUCUGCAAGAAAAAAAAAAAGAAAAAAAAAGAAGGAAAAAGAAAAAGACAAACUUCCGGGUUUGGGCUCAGGAACCCGAAACAGGGAACCGGGUCUUGGUUAAGCUUUUAGAACAAGAGGGGCGCGCAACCAAAGAAACCAAUGUACCUUAAACCCCUCCUCCUCUUCCUAUCCCUUCUUCUCUUCUCUCUAAAGCCAUGGAACCCAGUUCAAACAACAACAAGAAACCAUAGCCCCACAGUUAAAGGUUGAACCUUUUUCCGAAACCCAGUUUGCAGAAACAUGCGCUUUCUUCUUCAUCGACCUCUUCAUAAGCUUUCAGCCUUAUCCUCAAGUACUUCUCUUCUUAUGGCUUCCAAGCAACUCCUAAAGUCCACACCUUUCACAAACCCAUCUCCUCCUUCUCCACAAACUCACCUCUUUCACUCUCACAGACUUGUUUUCUCUGCAUUUCCGCCCAAACCCACCUCUAAAGCUCGACCCUUUUGCCUCAGGACUAAUGGGUAUUCUUAUGCUUCACGUGCCACUGUGAAAGCCCCAAAACCAGGUUUGGCCCCAUUGAGAAUUCUCUACUUUAAGUUACAUAAAGUUUGCUUAACACAGUGUUUCGAAUAUUGUUUAAUUGUGUUUUGUGAAUUCAAUGUAGUUGAUUUGGAGAUAACAGAUGAGCAGAGAUGUGAGUCUCUGACGAAAAAGUUGAAGGAGAUUGGCAUUGAUGAUGAGAUAUGUGAACCGGCGCAGUACGGCCACUUGAUCUGUCCAAUGGUAUGUUAUCUAGUUUUGUUUCUGUGCCUGUACGCUAGUUCUUAUCAGCUGUUCUUUUGAAGUGUAGUUAGUUUCGGAUCGCAAAAUGUAAGUUUAUGGUAUAUAAAGGAUGUUCUAUACAAGUAUUGUUGUGAUCAGUGGUGUUGAUAUGAGUAGAAUCAGUAGACAGAACAAAAACAUUCAAUGUGAGAUAGGUGUUUCUUCGGAGUAGAGGGAAGUUGUUACUUUCUUGUACAUGAAAGCUUAAUUCGUCAAUUACUUACCGUGUUCAAGAUUGCCGAAAGGGAAAUCCAAAACUUAACACCCAUAGGAGUCCUCUCGACCCGCUGCAAUCUACUCUUAAAAGUUCUCUGUCUCAUACUUCAAUUAACCAUGGCAUUUGAGAGAACCAAAGAGAAUCUUUCUUGGCAAUUCCCCUUUUCAGGUUGGAGAUACAUUUAAGGUCGGGAUAGGCCAUAAAAUUUUGAAAAAACUCUAUUCACGAGUAGAUUAAGGAGAUUUUUGUUUUUCGUGAAUUAUUUCUAGUGUAAAGACUUAAGGGAAUUGGAGUGGCCAUGAUGUGCUACAGAUCAGCUUGGAAUAGUAUUCGUCUUUCUUUUCUUUAUCUGAGUAAGAGAAAGAAUAAAAGUUCCAGUAUUAAUCGUAUUGACUUCUCUUAUGCUAGUGCAAAGGUGGUGAUUCAGAGGAAAAAAGCUUAUCCAUUUUUAUAGAAAAAGAUUGGUAUGCUUCUCUUCUGCUGGUGUUUUACUUACUUUUCAUCCUAUUUAUUAACAUAUUACAAUUUUCGUACUUAUAUAUUGGCACUUAUGAGUUCUUAGGAGUUAUGCUACUUGGCAGUGCCACCGCCGAAAAUGUGAUUGGAAAGGUAGAACAAUGGUAUGAUGGUUUCUGCAUCCAAGUUCUGUUUGGAAUAAAUGUAUAUUACAAUAUAUUGCAAUCGAUGGAUACGAGAGUCACUGGGCUACUGUUACCCUUUAUUUGCAGGCUUUUGCAGGAAGCAAGUCUUCUUAUAAAAAAUCAAAGAAUAGCACGACAGAUAAGACAAAAAGGGAAAUCACAGUGGAAAGUUUAGGAGUGGAACCACUUUGUGAGGAGGUUAAAACAUAUUAUUUUCUGAAGUAUGACUGCUUAUUAUCAGUAAACUAUAGUUUCUUACUGCAUCCUGGGUCUAGAAACAUCUUCUCUUAUUUCAGGUUCUUGCAUUUUUUUCGGAGCGAGGAAUAUCAAGGGAAACAGUGGCGAGGAAUAAAGUAAUGCAAAAGCGUUGUUCCAUAACAGAUCAGGUGCGUGAGGCUAAAGGAAAAUAUGACUUUCCCUUUCAUCAUUAUAUUUGGAUGUUAUUGAUCUUUGCUGUGUAUAUUAUAAUCACUAUAUUGCUGAGUAGUACAGUAAUCUGGAUCAUCAGACUGUAGAAGUAUCACCAUUUGUCUGCAAUCAUCAAAACUGAACUGCACCGAUGAAAUGGGACCGUAUUUUUGGUUGAUUAAUAUGAAAAAAUAAUACUGAAUGAGGCUACAUAUUAUAACUUCAGGUUCCUUAGCUAUAUAUGUCAAUGAAUUUCCAAAUUGAUCACCUAAAAAAAGUUGGCAACAGUUUUCUAUAUGUCAGACAGUUCAGUUAAUUUCUUGUGGAUGAAAUUAAGGUUUCAUAAUGAUUUGGGCUUAUAAUUUUUUAUAUGUGACAUUUCAUGUAUGUGACAUUUCAUCAGCUUAUUUGUUAUAUGUGUGUCAUUCAUCUGCUAUAAAUCAUCUUGCAAAGAUUGAUUAAUCCUGAACAGAUAUUCAUAGCAGACUUUCAAGUGUUAUAGUAUAUAAAGCAUGAGAAUAAUUAAAAAAAAGAAGUUGUGCUGAUGUAGUAAACUCUAUGGUAUAUAAUUGAAGAGACUUGCAUUCAAGUUUAACUGUCCCUUUAAUAAAGAUUGAGCUUCAAUUAUCUCUAUAAUCUGAAUUAAGAAACUCGGGGACCUGAGGUGACAAAAUCAUUUUCUCAUUCCAGACUUCUGAGGCAAAUAUUCCAUUGUAGUCUCUUCAACCUAAUGUUACUAUUAUUCUGCAGUAGCUAACUGCUUCUGAAUUUUUAAAUGCAGAUUUCUAUUGCAUUUACUUAUUGGAGGAAUGGAAAGCUGAUUAGUUGCAAGUAUCGAGACAUCAACAAGAAAUUCUGGCAGGUGCAUGCAACGAAUGAUGCUUUUACAGAUAUAAACCAACUGUUUUCACAAUCAUGUUGAGCAUAUAUCAUAAUGUGGAUGCUGUAUAUUUUUAUUCACAGUAAUAAUAUAUCUUUCUGGACCCUAUAUGUGCAUACACACCAACACAUGUAGCAUAACAAUACAUUGACUGAUAUCAAUGCCUCCAUAUGGGGAGGAUUUUGAACUUUCAGACAUGAUCCUCAUCAGACAUUGUCUGGUUUACCUUUUUUCCUUAUUUUUAUUUUAUUAUUAUUUUUUUUCUUUCUUUCCGCUUCAAGUAGAAUUAGUUUCAGGAUGUUUACAUGUUCAUUUCACUAUUUUGCUUUCAGGAGAAGGAUACUGAAAGGAUUUUUUACGGGCUGGAUGAUAUAAAGGAUACAAAUGAUAUCAUCAUUGUAUGAUUUCCAUCCCCCUGUCAGUUUAUGAUGCCUUAAAGAAUAUUCUUGCAACUUAUCUCUAUUAUCUUCCUUUUAUAAUUUAGGUAGAAGGCGAGAUGGAUAAGCUUGCAAUGGAAGAAGCUGGCUAUCGUAAUUGCGUAAGUGUUCCUGAUGGUGCUCCUCCCAAGGCUUCUCCUCCUGAUAAAGAUGUGCCACCUGAAGAGCAGGUUUGUGUCUCUAUAUCCUUCUAUUACUUUGAUUUAUGUACCUUUCUAAUAAUGGAUAUGCAUUUUGGGCUGCUCUACUAUAUAUUGAUGUUUACUGAUUUUUACCGUCCACAAAAAAACUGGAUAUACAUGAAAAGAUCUUGGAGCCUGAAUAUAUUAACAUCUUCUAUUGGACUGGACUAGUUUCAGUGGCUACUAUUAAUCCAAAUGAUCCAAUACACCAAAUCCCAAAGUUCUGUAUCAGUGAGGUCCCUAUAUUCUCAAUGGUAGUUCCAGUAACCAUAUCGAGAGGUGAAAAAGGUGCAACAGGACACUAGUGUAAUUGAUUCAAUAAUUACCAAUAUGCCUAAAGAAACGAAGAUUUGAAAGAUAGUGAUCAUGGUUUCCAAAUUCAAAUAUGACUUCUCUCAAACAAAAUUUUGCAUUACUUAUUAUUUCUUUAAUUUUAUUAGUUUAUAUUAUUACUGGUAUAAUUUGGUAAGGCUCAGCAGAGGUUUUACUUAUGAAUCUACUCACUAGACAGAUUUAUAUAUGCUUAUAUUUGGAUCUGAUGCUCCUUUGUCUCUUCUGUAAAGCUAGGAUACAAAGUAUCAAUUUCUGUGGAACUGCAAAGAGUACUUAAAGAAGGUUGGCAAAUACAUUUCUCGCUAUUAUUUAAAAACAUCAGUAUAGAAGUUCAUGGAUUUGGCUCCUAAUUUGAAUUGAUUUUGAUAGGAAUCACGCAUUAUUCUUGCCACUGAUGGAGAUGGGCCUGGCCAAGCCCUAGCUGAAGAACUUGCCCGCCGCCUUGGAAGAGAAAGGUUUUGAUGAUUGUCUCCCAUUGUUAUUAUCUUUUGGUUAGGUUGAAAUCCAUUCGGUAGUAAUAGCUUUCCCCUGUCCGUGUUAUUGCAGAUGCUGGAGAGUCAGCUGGCCAAAGAAAAACAACCAGGUUGAACACUUCAAGGAUGCAAAUGAGGUCAGAGACACAGCAUAUAUAUUGAAUUACGAUGCAGAUUAGUUAAUACCCUUAUUUUUAAAUAUUAUCUUGUUUUAUUAGCCAAUCCCUGACAAUAUUUUUGUGUAAUAGCACCUUAACUUUUCUAGUUUCUUCCAUUAUUCCCCCUGGCUAUCAUUUUUUGAUGACAUCAUCCAAUUUCGCCACUAAGGUGACCUUGUGUGCCUUACACUAGAAGGUAGUUUUGUCCAUUUCAUUUGACCAAAACUCAACCUCCAAGGGGAAAGCUGAAUAUAUAGGAGAAAAGACAUAAGGCCUCAAGUUCCCUCAAGUUUCAUGAAUCAAACUCUUUUUAUUGUUCAAUUUUAUCACGUCUUGGACCUAGGCAAUAUGUAGAAGACAAAAAUAGUCUUAGAUGAAGUGAAAUAGAGUGAUAUUCAGAAAUUGGAUGAAAUCAUCAAUAUUGAUGGUUAGGGGGACAGUGUCAGAAUUAGAAAGUCAGUGUGCAUUUAAACAAAAUGUUUCUGUAAGGGGUAAAUUGAUAAUUGCAUGACUUUGGGACAAAAUAGACAUUUGACUAUUUAAGGCUAUUAAUGUGUCUGAUAUGCAGUAUAAUGAUUAAGAGAAUAUCAUUUUAGAAUAGUCUCUAAUAUUCAGUAUGCAUACAUACGCAUGCACAAGAAGCUGGUGCAACUCUGGUUUCGUAAUAGCAAUUUCUUGUGAGUUGUGAUAUUAUCUCUAAUACAUGAUACAAAUCCUCAACCAACAUGCUGUAGGGCAACAGAUGAAGUAUUCAAAACUGGUGAACAUAUUGUGCGAGGAUUUGUAUUAUAUGUGUCUUCUUCUGGAACUGAAAAUAAUCUCAUCAUUGCCAGUUUAAUGUGUUCUUUUGAACAGCAUUUUUUGACAUUGUACUUUAAGAUCACUGUAGCAAUCCUUACUAUCUCCCUUAUAAUUUGCUCGUACAGGUUCUCAUGUAUUUGGGACCUGAUGUAUUGAAGGAAGUAAUUGAGAAUGCUGAGUUAUAUCCUAUACGUGGAUUGUUCAGAUUUCAAGAUUACUUUGAUGAAAUUAAUGCAUAUUACCAUCGGACGUAUAAACAUGAUUGUGGUGUCAAAACUGGGUGGAGAGAUCUGGAUGAGUUAUACAAUGUAAGGAUACACUUACACAUUUCUAAGUGAUAUAUCUAGUACUGGAUACAUAAUUCUUGUUUUGAGAUGUAUUAUAAUGUAUGUGAUCAUGACUUUUUUAAAUAAUGGAUGAAUUUGCUCUAGUUGUUUAAAGAGUAUCCCUUUAUGAGUUUUCCAUCUAUUGGCAGAAAGAGAAACACUAUUCAUCAGAUUUUCUAUCAUUUUGCAUAUUUGGAAUUUAUACCUAGACCACCUAUAAGAAUAGUAAAACAAGGAUCAUAUGAUUUAAGUGCAGUAAGUAAGAUUAGCAUGUCUUCCAGGAAAAACGAAUUUACCGUCGAGAGUCAUUUUGAAAGUAUUCCCUAAACUCUCAUGACUCAUGAUGACAAAGCCUAUAGAACAAAGAGCUACUAUCAUAAAUUUCCUUAGUAUUGCCAUCAGUUGUCAAUAUUCUAUUUAUGAGUACUACUGUUCUUUCGUUAUCAUAUGUUUGCUGAAAAAUAUGCUGGCAAGGAGUUGAGGACUAGUGCAUGCGCACAUACAUAUAUUUAUAUAAAUGUAUAUUACAUAUAUUUUUUCCUAAUCUUUAUGUUGUAAUUUUAAGGUUGUCCCGGGUGAGUUGACUAUAGUAACAGGGGUUCCUAAUUCAGGCAAGAGUGAGUGGAUUGAUGCUCUCUUGUGCAAUCUCUAUGAAAGUCAUGGUUGGAAGUUUGCACUUUGUUCUAUGGAAAACAAGGUAAAGCUUAUUUAAUUAUUAGAAUUUUCUGUUUUCCCCCAUAUGACCUUGUUCCUUCUUAUUUGGAUAUGUGAAUUGUAUAGAAAAGUAUGGCUUAGGCACACUUUUAAUUUGAAAGAUGUUAAAAACUUUUGAGUUGAGAACAGUAAGAAUUGCUGGAAUUUUUUCUCUCUCUUGUCUGGUGGCCUUUUCCAAGAACUCUAAUUUGUCUAAUCUUUUCUAACCUGCAUAUAAAGUAUGUAUUCUUCAUGAUCUGAAAACAAGGUAAAAAUGGAACUAGUUUUGUGUCCUUGUGAUCCAAGAUAUGUCUGAGGCUUAUACUUUAGACCACCUAGGGGUGUUCUUGAUGUACGAGCUUUUCUAGGUGUAAUUGCAUUUCUUUCUAACCACAUUCCCUCAAGUCAUAGUUGCAGCUUCUUUUUUCUUCUUCUUUUUUUCUUUAUUUCUUUCUUUUUUGAUGUUGCUCUUUCAUAACCUUUCUCAUUAAUGAUUUACAGGUUAGGGAGCAUGCACGAAAGCUGCUGGAGAAACACAUACAGAAGCCUUUCUUCGAUGGACGGUGAGUUCUUUUCGAUAUUCUUUGUUAUUUUUUGAUGUUUUUGGGUGUGACUGUUGUAUGUUGUACUCAAGUACAAUAUUAACCAAGAAGGCUUUGGUUAUGAGUGGAGCAAAGAACUUACUGAUUUCAGUUCUAAUACUCUCAAUUUGCUAUUGGUUGCAAGAGAGUUAAUCUAUUACAGUUUAUUAUACUUGUCAUAUCAUAUUUGGCAAGCUAUUUUUAUUUAGACUAUGUUUAUUCAACAUUUUGAAAUAUAAAGUUGGAGUAGCACAAACAAAAGGCACACAAAAAUUAAUCAAAUAUAAAUAAGGAGUGGAAAAAACAAAGCAUGAGCAAGGAGUGGAAAGAAAAUUUCUCUCAUGAAUUUUCAUCUCUUUUGUUCUCAAUGACGAAGGUCUGAAAAGUGUCUCAGACGCCUUUCUUCAUGCUGACAAAGGUCUGAUCAGUUUUUGCAGUUCUACACCUAUUAAAAAUGUUUGGUUAGGUAUGGCGCUAAAGCCAAAGCAAAACUGAUAUAAAUGUCUGGCUUUUUUUAUAUUCCCAAGUACCCAAUUCCUUUCACAAAUAAACUAAUAACAAACAAAAAGCAAGCGAUGGGUUAAGAUCUUCUGCAUGCAGAUGGGAACUUAUGGUCUAUAACAUGGCGAUUUUCUCUUUUGGUCAAUAAAUUUGAGUUACACACACACACACACACAUAUUAUGAUUAUUUUGUCCUACCGGGUCUGCCUAGAUAGUUACAAAUUGAUUAUUGUGAUCAUAUAUUGUAACUCAUCAGUGUUUUCACAGUUUGUUUGUUGCCUUUAUUUGUGUAAAUUGGUGCUAUGGUGCUUUUCCAGUAAAGCUAAAGAUUUUUUUUUUUUUUUCUAAUGCACUGUCGAUUUCAAUUUUGCAUUGGUUGACUAUAGCUAUGGUGGUCCUGCUGAACGAAUGAGUGUUGAAGAAUUUGAGCAAGGGAAACAAUGGUUAAAUGAGACAUUUCACCUCAUAAGGUAGGCUGCAGUUUCAAGAAUUAUUGAAUGAGCAUAGAAUGUAUAUGAAUUGUGUGUUUGUGAACCACCAGGUUAUAUCUUAUAAUUUAUCGAUAAAUAAUAAAUUGUAGACUUCAUCGAAAGAAAUACCUUGUGGAGUAAAAGUCUUUGAUUGCUUUAGGGAUCUGAUCAUAUUGGGGAUUCUUUGAUUUUACUCCUAUCAUGUUACAGGUGUGAGGAUGAUUCUCUUCCAAAUAUCAAAUGGGUUCUUGAUCUUGCACGAGCAGCAGUACUUAGGCAUGGGGUGCGUGGACUUGUAAUUGAUCCUUACAACGAGCUUGAUCAUCAACGCCCACCAAACCAGUGAGUCUUUACAAUAUAUUGUGUGUGUUGUGAUUUCUAAUAUACUUCUGUUUUGUACAUGUACACGUGAACAAGCCCAGAAAUAAUGCUGAAUUUCGUACUUCAAAGUUCUUAUUCUACUCUUUAUUCUUCCUAACAUUAGUGAAAUUGUACUGGUAUAAGCUAUUGGACAUUUAAGAAAUUAAGUUACUGAUCUGUAUGCAUGGUCAUGAGCCUAGUCUUGUAUUUGGAUAAGGACUCUUUCCAACUGUUUUGGGUUGUUAGCAUUGGUAUGUCUUUAUUUAUUUAUUUAUUGGGAAAGAGAUAGGAAACUGGGAAUAGUCAUCAUAUUCACAUAAUUUAGGAGGUAUCUUCUACCAUGCUUAUUAUGGCUCAUCGAGUUUCUUGUAAUUUUGUUGCAUGCCACAAUCCUUUUUGAACACUUUUUACAGUUGCUUACGAGAAUAUCACCAAUACUUGUAACAGGACGGAAACAGAGUAUGUAAGUCAGAUGCUUACCAAUGUCAAACGGUUUGCUCAGCAUCAUGCUUGUCAUGUUUGGUUUGUAGCACAUCCCAGACAGGUGGGCUACUUUGACUAUGAAUGUGCUCGUUUUCUUUUCAUGUUAUUCUCUAAUUAUGUACCUUGUAACAGUUGCACCAUUGGGUAGGGGGUCCUCCUAAUCUUUAUGAUAUAAGUGGAAGUGCACAUUUCAUAAACAAAUGUGACAACGGAAUUGUAAUUCAUCGUAAUCGGGAUCCAGAUGCUGGGGAGCUUGAUAAAGUACAGGUGAGUGCUGUACGUAGACUAUCCAUGGGCAUUUACACAUACACAAUUCUAUUCAUCCUCAUUGUUCACAUAAAAUCCCAUCCACUGCAUCUAACAAACCAUGGUAACUCGUUGUGAUUGAUACUAAAUGUUGCUAUCUGUAAACUGCAAUUCACAGGUUUGUGUUCGUAAGGUACGGAAUAAAGUCGCAGGGACCAUAGGUGACGCCUAUUUGACAUAUGAUAGGUAUAGUAAAACUUUGUUUGUUACCCAGCUUUGAAAUAUCCAUAGUAGCAUACGAAUUAUGCUACCAAUUAUACUUCAUCCAUUUUUUUUUUUUUGAAUCAAUCAUAUGAAAGACUGUAAUUUUCAAUUAAAAAAAGAAGAAAGAAAGACUUGUAUUGCUCUCAUUAUAAAAGUCUUCUAAACAAUUACUUGAGUAAACAUGGGAACUACUCCAGUCUUUUCCCUGAAAGAAAUAACUUGCUUUUUGGAGCCCAAUCGUGUCAAUUAUAUGUCAAAAUGGUAUCAUCACCUGAGCAAAAGAUAGGAAAAGUUGAAGAAAGUAGACUCAUAGCUACAAAGAAAAGGGAUUGCAAUACAUAGUUUGAUGCUACUAGAUUGUUAUUUUCUUGUUGAGCCAUUUGUGUAGUUUUCUUCUUAUGCAAUUAUAUUGUUCUUACUCUCCCUGUCAGCUUUACAUGGGAAAGUUAUAUACUCAAAUACUUUGGAAUAAGCAUGAUGUUUUCAUUGUUGUGCUUGAGCAGGGCAACUGGUCGAUAUAUGGAUAUUCCGAAAGCAAACGAGGGCAAAUAGCAAAAUUGCGCGAUCAAAUGCUUGUACAGCGGGAAUCUUCUAGCAUCUGGGGUGUCUGGUGAGAUUAACUUACUGAUGCCCUAUGUGCCUUAUGAUUUCAUGAAACACCAUGAUGGUGACAACGACCAAACAACGGCUCUGUCCAUGAUUGACGCUAGAUGAUUGAGCAGGGGAAUAGCCACCUUGAAAUUUUGUAUAUGUGAUAUUCCCUACUAUCAGAUGUGGGAUUUAGUGAUUUAUUAGGUGUACUGAAACAAUGUAAUAGGAUCAAACUAAGAAUGUUGUAUUAUUGGACCAGGAUCUCUCAAUAUUUAGAGAUGUGGGAUUUCAUCCGUGCUGUGCUGUAGGUGGACAGAGCAUAAUUGGAGCUAGAUUGAUGAUUAUUAGUGGACCAUCUCUCCCUCUAAUUCACAUGGUGUGGCUACAGGUUAACCUACUAAUCCAGUUGCUUAAGGCCCAAGUCAAACACACCUCACCUGCCAAUGUAAAUUGCCAGGUGGAACCAUAUAACAAGCCUGUCACCCGGGAAAUCAGGUAUUUUUUUUUUCCAAUUUUUCUGAGAAAAUUUGGGUUAGCUAAUUGGACGGUUUGGACCUACAAACGAAUAUAAAGAAGCACGAAGAAUUGGACCGUUUUUCGUGGGUAGUAGCUGGUUUCAUAAAGGAGUGAGACGAUGCGUUUCUUUUUGUCUAUGAAUUCGAAAGACAAUAGAACCUUAGCAUAUGAGGUGUCUAAUGAUCACAAAGGAGGAUUUGUGAGCAUGCAAUGCCUGUCAUUUCCUUUUAUUAAAGUUGAUGCAAAGAUAGUGAAUCUCAACUUAUUAUCUUAUGGAUUCCUCACAAAGAUGACCUCUCUGGAAAAAAAUCAUCAAACAUACUGCAUUUAAUUUUUCAUUUUUCGCAAAUACGCUCUGGAUGUAAAAUGUAUUAUUCCGAUACAUUAAACUAUGAACCCUCGUAAUAAAAUACGGAAAGUGAAUGUCCCUUUUGAAACAGAUUAAUACAAACAAAACGAUUUAACUGUCAAAUUAUGUCUCAUCAUUCUUGCCUUGCUAAUCUGUCCCAUUAUUGUUGGUGCGAACGGUUAUGGAAAUCUAGCUGUACAAAGAAACCAUACAGAAAGAAUGAAUCAAAAACCAAAAUUUGCCAGUGAAUCAAUGACGAAGACUCGGUCAAAACCCUAGCAACAAACAAACAUACCCUCUCUCUGGAGGGGCCAACGCACCAAUGAAAUGCUCCCCAUGAACUUAGAGCACUCGAGCCUCGACCAUACACGACCAUUCUCUCCUGUCACAACGUGGGCCCCCCAAUUCCCCCAACGGCUCCUCCUCCUUCUGCGGUGGCCUCCAGCUAAGUAACCGUUACUGGGCCCCGCACCCUCUCUUCUCGUCUCUCGAAAUAUAUAGCCGUUGCAACCCUCGCUCUUAUACACACAAGCCCCUCCCUCCUCUCUUCCAUCUCUCUCACCAAACACACAAACAGACCAUCUCUCUUUAUCUCUCUCUCUCUCUCUACAAUCGACCAUCUCUCUAGAAAAUGACUGUUGAGGAGACCCAGGUGGCGGUGGCGGUGGAGGAGCCGGUGAAGGAGUGCGAGAAGGCUGUUGUUGCUGAGAAGCCAGCGAAAGUUGAGAAGAGCUCUUCUUACAAGGAGGAGAGCAACUAUCUUUCUGAUCUCAAGGAGUUCGAGAAGAAGGCUUUGGUUGAGCUCAAAGCCAAGCUCGAAGAAGCCAUCUUGGGGAACAAUAUCUUCAAGAAAGAUGAGCCCAAGAAGGUUGAGGAGAAGAAGGAGGAGAAAACAGAAGAGGCGGAGCCUGCUGCUGUGAAAACAGAGGAGGCAGAGCCUGCUGUGAAAACAGAGGAAACAGAGGCUGCUGUGAAAACAGAGGAAACAGAGGCUGCUGUGAAAACAGAGGAAACAGAGGCUGCUGUGAAAACAGAGUGUGCGGAGAAAACAGAGGAAGGAGAGAAGGCACCAGAAUUGGCUGAGGAGAAAGAACAAGUGGUUGCUCCGGUAUGUGAGGAAGAGGCGAAACCUGAAUCCAGCGACGUGGUGGAUACAGAUAUCUCACUCUGGGGUGUGCCUUUGUUCCCUGGUAAAGGGUCAGAGGGGACUGAUGUGGUGCUGUUGAAAUUCUUGAGGGCUAGGGAGUUCAAGGUGAACGAAGCCUUCGAGAUGCUGAAGAAGACUCUGCAGUGGAGGAAGGACUCCAAAAUUGAUUCAAUUUUGGAGGAGGAUAUCUGCUCUGAUCUGAGCUCUGCCGCUUACUUGAACGGAGUUGAUCGUGAAGGCCACCCUGUUUGCUACAACAUCUUCGGAGUGUUUGACAGUGAAGAGCUUUACCAGAAGACGUUCGGGAAUGAAGAGAAGAGAGGCCAAUUCUUGAGGUGGAGGGUUCAGUUGAUGGAGAAGAGUAUUCAGAAGCUUGAAUUGAGGCCUGGUGGUGCUACUUCUCUGCUUCAGAUCAAUGACCUCAAGAACUCGCCUGGACCGAUCAAGAAGGAGCUUAGGGUUGCAACAAAGCAGGCUGUUGGGCUCUUGCAGGAUAAUUACCCUGAAUUGGUUGCCAAAAAUGUAAGCUUUUCGCCUUUCCUAACCUACUCGCUUUACCAAUUCGUAAUCUGUUUGGUUCUAAAUUGUUGGAUUUUGUUUAAAUUUGAUUGUAGAUUUUCAUCAAUGUUCCAUUCUGGUACUAUGCACUCAAUGCUCUAUUGUCUCCAUUCUUGACUCAACGAACAAAGAGCAAGUUUGUGGUGGCUCGCCCCGCUAAGGUCACUGAGACCCUUCUCAAGUGAGUCAUUUCCCUCCAUUAAAGAUGUGAUUUUGACUCCAAUAUAAGCUAGAAUUUGAGAAAUGAACUAACAUCGUGUUUACAAUCAGGUACAUUCCAGCUGAGGAGAUACCAAUUCAGUAUGGAGGCUUCAAAAGAGAAGAUGACACAGAGUUCUUCUCUUCCGAAGAUGGUUCUGUUUCCGAGCUAACUCUCAAGGCCGGAUCAACCCAAACCAUAGAGAUUGAAGCAGCUGAGGUACUAUUAAUUUUUUUAAUUUAUAAGUUUGAAUACUCUUGCUACAGGGUUUCAAGAGAUUAAUCGAGUGAAAUGCUUUUUUCUGAUGUUUAUAGGCUGAUAGUAGCAGCACAUUGGUUUGGGAUGUUAGUAUUUUGGGAUGGGAAGUGAAUUACAAGGAGGAGUUUGUUCCAAGUGAUGAAGGGUCAUAUACCAUCAUUGUUCAGAAGAAGAAGAAGAUUGGAGCUAAUGAAGGACCUAUCCGCAACACUUUCCGAAGCAAUGAGCCAGGGAAGGUUGUCCUGACAAUUGAGAACACUUCGAGCAAGAAGAAGAGGGUUCUGUAUCGGCACAAGACCAACAAGUGCGUUUGAGAGUUGAACUUGAGGAAUGAAUAUGGGGCAUAGUGAGAGCAUUAUACAUAUAUAUGAUUAGAAUUGAUUCUUUUGAGGUUGGGAACAAUAGGUGAGUGUGUGAGAAGAUAGAGAAAUUGAUUGUUCAUUCUUUUGCAGAAUCACUAUGGUCCUGUGUUUAAUAUGUUUGAAGUGUAUCAUUUCCUUUUUUGGGAUUUUCAUCCCAAAGACAUUGAGAGUGAAAUAUCUAUUGAUUAUUCAUUUGGAGAAAUUUCUCAAGAUUUGAUUUCCCUUUAGUUUGAUACCUUUUUAUUUGCUUAACAGGACUUGAAGACGAGCUCCAAUUGAUAAAAUAAAUCCAAAGAUGCUCGCAUCACAAAAACAACACUACCAAAGAUUGUUUACCACUCAACUCAUCUAGUAUUCUAAUUAGUUCAGUAGCAAUGCAAAAACUUCAUUGGACAUCCUUUUACUACCUCUGUUACUAAUGUAUUCAUAGAAAACUGCAUUUUGCAAGGCUGAAACAGCCCUAAAACUCAAUGUAUACCAAAAACAGCCCUAAACCUCAAUGUAUACCAAAAACAGCCCUAAACCUCAAUGUAUACCAAAAAAAACACUCUUCUGCUGACUAAAGCUCAAAGAACAUAAGACUGAUAAGAGGCACGGAGAAAGGAAGGUAAAGGAAUACAAGUGAUGGAUUUGAUGAAAGGGUAAGAAAAAGACCUACCACUUAAAUCCAUGAUAUGGAGAAGCAUAAGACCAUUCCUCUCCUUCGGGAAAUAUCUCUCUGUUCAAAAGAUACAAUCAUAAAACUAAAACAAUGACAAAACAAUAUAUCUCCAAAAACUAGUCCUUCAGAUAUGUUAAGGCUGCAUUGGCAACCCUCCCAAAAAAAUAAUGAAUCUUCUACCUAAGAAAACAAUGGGAAUUCCCUCAAUCAACAACAGAGUAACACUAGUUUCACAGACUAUUAACAAAACAAGACCAGCCCUUUAUGGAAGGGAUACAGAAAAUGAAAAUAUAGAGUACAUGAUAACAUCAAACAUUUACCAAACAGCCAUAUUAAUAUAAUAACAAACUCGCACACAUUAGCAAGAGCUUUCAAAUAUAUGAUACACAUAGAAAUGUAGAAUAUGUUCCAUUACAUACAGAAAACAGAAUGAUCAUUCCUUGACAUCAUCCAAUGUAAUUAAAAGCAUAUGACCGACAAAGCACAUUUGAAAUUGGACUACACAAAAUAAUCACUAAGCGGAGAGACACUUUACCACACAGUGGGCCUGAAAUGGGGAAACGGAUUACAAAAGGAUUGAAAUUGAACCACCCUUCUAGCGCUGUUCCCAUGCAUAAAUCCGAAAAUACCAGUUAAUGACUUGUCUAACAGCAGAGACUCCAAGGAUGGGCAUCCAAGCACUAUUUCCAAAUCAGACUGAUCUAAGUUGCUGAAAUCAUGCAAUGCAAGGUAUUUCAAGCAUUUAUGUCUUGAAAAUGCAUGAAUGCUAGCUCUGGUUAACCCUAUACGAUACCCUAUAUGAUCCAAAACAAGUACUUCCAAGUAGCGGCAAUUCUCAGCAAGAGCAACAACUGUACGCUCUGACAACAGCCAAAGUUUACUCAAUUUCAAUUUCCUGAGGGUUUGAAUUGUCAAGAUUGCCACACCUCCAAUAUCAGUCACUUGGUUCAAGUACGUCAAUUCCAGGUGCUCUAAGCUACGCAAGUUGACCAAAAGCUGGAUCCCAGUAUCGGUGAUUUCAUCGCACAGCUUAAGGAUCAAUUUCUUGAGGGUUUUAGAGGUAGAUCCAUUUGCCAGGAAUCCCAAUCCCACAUCAGUAACAUUUCGACAGUAUGUUAACUCCAACGUGCUUAUGGAAGAUGACCCAAUUGCUCUAAAUGCAUGAUCAGAGAUUAGAUCAAUGUCCUUCAAAUGCAAAGACUUCAAGUUAUGCCCUGAUUGAAAAAGCGCAUCAACUCCAGCAUUCCCUACCACUUUGCUCCCCCAAAACGUAAGUCUGGACAAUUUGGGACACCCAAUUCCCAAAGCUCGUAGACCCUUCGUCCCCAAAUGACCAUCACUUUGGUUUUGAAAGACGCUGAGAAGACAAAUGAAGAAGAAAAGCGUGCGGCCUGAGAGAGUAGGGUUUUUUCAAUAUAUACAAGAGGGAUUAAUACGGUGGUGCACUGGUGCAGGUGCAUAGUGUAGUGUAGACACUCUGAAUUCGACACGUAACUUUUCAAUGCAGUUGUGGCUACUCGGUCUCUUGAGUAUCGAGAACCGAGCCGGAAGCUAUACGCACUAAACCGGACGGGCUGAGAGAGUUGUAGCUAGGCAAGGUAUACAUGCAUGAAGAGAACGCCGCCGGUUUCACCUUAAUCGGAGACGGUUUCUGGGGUGAGUGAGAGGCCAAUGUACAGCCACUUGUGGUGCAUGUCCAAGCAACCGUGCAAAUAAUCAAAUCCUAAGAUAGCACUAGAAACGUGCAAAUAAUCAAAAACUUGUGACAUGGUUCUCUUUCCUUGGUUGAAGACCUGUAAGAUACCUAUGAAUUUACUGAAAGAUAAUCAAAAUAAAAGGCCUGCACUACAUAAAGAAAGAAUACUGUAAGAUACCUAUGAUGCUUCACAUUUAGCUUAAGCAUUGUGGUUGGCCGCUGCAACAUGCUGACAUUGUAACCUCGAUUUAUAUAUUUGCCACACCGAAGCGUUUUGUUUAGUUUACUCCAAAACACUACAUGCUUACAGAUUACUUGUCCAUAUGACCAAACUUAGUAUAAUUAUAUGAUUCAGGUUCUGACUACAAUGUUGAUCUGUUGUUUUGAUCUGAAAAUAUUCUGACUCCAUUAUAAGCCUGACAUUUGAGAAAUGAACUAUAUCUGUGUAUAUUUUCAGUUACAUUCCAGAUGAGGAGACACCUAUUCAGUAUGGAGGCUUCAAGAGAGAAAAAAACACCAAGUUCUUCUCCUCUGAAGAUGGUUCUGUUUCUGAAAUAAAUCUCAAGGCCGGAUCAACCCAAACCAUAGAGAUUGAAGAAGAUUGGAGCUAAUGAAUGACCCAUUCGCAGCACUUUCCGAAGCAAUGAUGCCAGGGAAGGUUGUCCUGACAAUUGAGAACCAACAAGUGCUUUUGAGAGUUGAACUAUAAUUGAUUGGGCAGAGGGUUGAGGAGGAGACAUGGGGCAUAGUGGGAGAGCAUCAUAUAUACAUAUGAUUAGAAUUUGAUACUUUUGCAGAUGGGGAACAAAUUAGUGUGUGAGAAGAUAGAGAGAUUGGUAGUUCAUUCUUUUGCAGAGUCACUAUGGUCCUGUGUUUGAAGUGUAUCAUUUCCUUUGUUGGGAUUUCAUCCCCCAGACUUGAGAGUGAAAAGUAUAUCGACUUGUUCAUUUGGAGAAAUUUCUCAAAAAAUUCUUUCCAUUUUUCUUAUCAUAAAGAUUUUCUUUCCUUACUUAUAUACUUAUAUACCUCUGAUACUACCACAACUUGAAAAUUUCACAAUUAAAAUGAGUUGAGCAGUCUCAUUUGAUGUUUUGGGAAAGGGCAACAAUUGAGUCCAUAACAAAUUAACAAGAUAGGUUGUUACAACAGACCGGCUUAAGGAGUUGCAGCAAGAAUAUAACAAGCAGAGUAUGAACAACGCCAGAAAUAAAAUUUGGUGUCCAUAACUUCUUUCUCCUGCUGUAAGUUGGAGCAAAAAGGAACAAUAAGAAGCAGGAAACUGCAGCUCAACAAAAUGAAACCCAUGGGCAAUUAUGAAUUUCCCAGCAGUUUAAUGAUACCUGUUCACUUGUAUCAUGUACACCCUAAAAUAAAACCCAUAGGAAAUUAUGAAUUUCCCAGCAGCUUAAUGAUACCUGUUCACUUGCAUCAUACACAGACAGCUUAAUGGUACCUAUUCACUUCCCAACAGCUUAAUGGUACCCAUUCACUUGCAUCAUAUGCAAAGGUGAUUUUGCAUCUAUGUCUGCUCAACAUUCAUUGGACAUCUCAUGUAUCACUGUUCUAGAAGGACCUCCUUGCUUUACUACCUGUACUAAUGUAUUCGUAAAAAACCACAUUUUGCAAGGCUCUCUAGAACUCAUAAUCUAUCAAAAAUAUUGUUCUGCUGACUAUAGCUCAAAGAACAUAAGACUAAUAAGAGGCAAGGAGAGAGGAAGGUCCAUGAAUACAAGUGAUGUAUUUAAAGAAAGAAGCAGGUGAAAUCCAGAUGAAAAGGUAAAGAAAAAGACAUACCACUGAAGUCCACGAUAUGGAGAAGCAUACGACGAUUCCUCUUCUUCAGGAAAUAUCUCUAUGUUAGAAAGACACAAUCAUAAAACUAAAACAAUGACAAAACUAUAUAUCUCCAAAAACAAGUCCUUCAGAUAUGUUAAGCUGCAUUGACAACCCUCCCAAAACAAAUAAUAUAACUUCUACAUAAGAAAACAAUGGGAAUUCCCUCAAUCAACAACUGAGUAACACUAGUUUCACAGACUAUUAACUAGACAAGACCAGCCCUUUAUGGAAGGGAUACAGAAAUUGAAAAUACCUAAGAGUAUAUGAUAACAUCAAACAUUACCAAGCAGCCAUGUCCAUAAUAACAAACACUCACCCAUUAGCAACAGCUUUCAAAUAUAUGAUACACAUAGAAGAUGUUCCAUUUCAUAUAGAAUAAAACAGAAAGAUCAUUCCUUGACAUCAUCCAAUGUAUUCAAAAGCAUAUGACCAACAAAGCAUAUUUGCAAUUCGACUACACAAAAUAAUCACUAAACGGAGGGACGCUUUACCACACAGUGGGCAUGAACUGCGGAAAGGAAUCACAAAAGGAUUCAAAUUUGACCACCCUUCUAGCACUGUUCCCAUGCAUCAAUCUGAAAUUACCAGUUAAUGACUUGUCUAACACCAAAGACUCCAAUGAGGGGCAUCCAAGCACUAUUUCCACAUCAGACUGAUCUAAGUUGCUGAAACCAUACAAUGAAAGGUAUUUCAAGCAUUUAUGUCUUGAAAAUGAAUGUAUGCUAGCUCCGGUUACAGGUUCAUGUAACCAUAUACGAUACAAAGCAAGUACUUCCAAGUUGCGGCAAUUCUCAGCAAGAGCAACAACUGUACGCUCUGACAACUUCCAAAGUUUACACAACUUCAAUUCCCUGAGGGUUUGAAUUGUCGAGAUUGCCGUACCUCCAAUAUCAGUGACAUGUUUCAAACAUGCCAAUUCCAGGUGCUCUAAGCUACGCAUGUUGACCAGAUGCUGCAUCCCAGUAUCGGUAAUUCCUUCGCAACGCUUAAGGAUCAAUUUCUUGAGGGUUUUAGAGGUAGACCCAUUUGCCAGAAAUCCCAAUCCCAUAUCAGUAACAUUUGGACAGCAUUGUAACUCCAAUGUGCUUAUGGAAGAUGACCCAAUUGCUUUAAAUGCACGAUCAGAGAUUAGAUGAUUUUCCUUCAAAUGCAAAGACUUCAAGUUAUGUGCUGAUUGAAAAAGUGCAUCAACUCCAGCAUUCCCUACCACUUUGCACCCCCGAAACAUAAGCGUGGACAAAUUGGGACACCCAAUUCCCAAUGCUUGUAGACCUUUGGUCCCCAAAUGACCAUCACCUUGGACAAAUGAAGUUAUAACGGAGUAAACCAUGAAGGUCUUGAGCUUGGGAUAUGUUUUGGCUAUGAAUUCGAGUCGGGGGUCGGUGGGUGGAUAAUACCAUGAUUUUUUGUUCUGCCUUUUUCUUUUUUUGGUAAGCUCCCGUGUUGUUCUGAAAUCGACCAAGUUGGGAAAUUUAGUCAGUAGAUCCAGUGGGAACAUGGGUCCGCCGCGAACCCGAAGUGAUGUUCGGCUUAGACGUUCCACUCUUAACCAUUGCUUGCACACCUCCGAGAACGAUUUUCUAUCUUCUUUCUGGUCGACCAUGUUAAGGAUUUGGGCAAGUAAAUCGUCGUUCAACAUGGAAUUAAUAUACCCUGACCUCCUUUUGGCGUCUAUAGCCAUUUUUUUCCCUUUGAUUUCCCUUUGAAACCAACGAAAGAAUUAACCCAACUGGAGGAAACUAUAAAAGAACAGGUUGGGAAUUAAACCUGAUGUUAUGUUUAGGGAUGAACGGCUUCAGCUACUCAUCAUCGAGCACCUCGAUUACAAUGCAGAUCGGCCCGCCCAUGGUUACCACCUCUGAAAGAUGCUGCGAAAGAGAAACAAAGAUGAAAAGCGUGCGGCUGAGAGUAGGUAUUUAUCAUUAUAUACGAGAGAUAAAUAAAUAAUAAUAGGGUUGUGCGCUGAAUUAGAAUUCCUUAUUGCUGCCUUUAAAAUCCUUUAUAAAUAAAUUUUUUUUGUGGGGCAGACACGUGUCACAAUUUUUCCAAAUCAUCUACGCUGAAAAAAAAAAAAAAAUUAAUGAAUUUGGAUUCCUAUGUCCGAUCAGACCAAACCAGCUCCUCUCCCUCUGUCAUACUCCACCUCGCUCCUCCUCUCUCAUAUGCAGUCCCCAAUGCGCGCUCCAAACCUUCUUACAUAGCGGCCCAAAAAUUCAUCAGACUACAGAAGCACUGAAAUCUCAUUCUUAGUCGUUCUUCGCUGCAACCUCAUCGUCUCAUUCUCUUGUUUUUUUUGCUUCAGUCUUCAUCGGCGAGAAGAAUUCAGGUCUAGCUUCUCUCGUUUCUCACACUCUCUGAUUUGUGUUGAUUAUUGUGCAAUCUCUCCUUCAACCCCUUCUACCUUCUUCUUUGUAUAUGUUCUGCAUGUCAUUCAUUUUACUAAAGACUAUGAACAGAUGAUCUACUGUAAUUUGAUAAUGAGUUGUAAUUAUUUUAAGGAUUGAUUGAGGAUUUGAUGUCUAUCUAGCUUGAGUUGCUCAGAAAUUGGUCAAUUUUAUGAUGGAGUAUUUUUUGCUUUCUUUGUAUUUGUUCUUUGAUUUGGAAUUUUGGAUGUUAAAAUUGCUGAACGAGUUACUAAGAAUUUUUGUAUGUCUUAAACUGAUAGCUAUAUAGAAUCCUAUCUGAAUGAUUAUUUGGUUGUACUGUUUGCUUAGAAAAUAGGAAGUCUAUUGCUAAUUUCUUGUAAAUAAAGGAUUGCUGCAAGUGAGUUGAUGAAGUACUCUGCCCGACCUAUCGUAUCAAAUUGAAAUUACCCUCAAAGAAAUUGCCAAUAUAAAACAAUAUAGGAAGUCUCUAAUUAUGAUGAGCAGUACUUAAACUAAAUUUCAGCAUAUGUUAUUUAGUUAGUAAAUUGAUACAGUUCAAACACAUAAUUUGAGUUCCUGAAAAUACAUUUUGCAACUCUAAUGUUAGUGAGGUAGUUUUCUAUUUGGUUGAUCCUUGGUGAGCAGUACUAAGUACUAACUGUUAUAGAGGUUUACGAUUUUCUGUUAUCCUUCUAACCUUAAAUCAUUUAUGUGGUAGGUGUUUGGAGCGGACAUUCGCCCUGGUAAGUUAAUAUUUUAGUGAAUUCAGAAGUAGUUGAAGAUUUAUGCACAGAACUCAAUCCUUUUCCUGAAAAGCGGUUUUGUCUGUAGAAAAUGCUUUAUGGGAGAUAUUUAGGACCUCUGUUUCUGAUGUAAAACUUUCACCAUGAUUUCUCUUUGAUGCCUUUUCUGUAGCUUCAAACAUUGGAGAUGGAGUAUUGUUGGAUCAUGACACCGGUGUGGUUAUUGGUGAAACUGUUGUUAUAGGAACAGAGUUUCAUUGAUGCAGGCAAGUUCUUUUCAGUAUAGGAAGUACUUUGAGGUUAUGUACUUUGAAGUUUGGAUAAACAUCUACUUUAGUCCUUAUAGUUUUACUCUAUAAAAAUUUAUUGAACUUUUAAAAUCUCUUAUUAUUGGAUAAUUGUUUGCUAAAAUAGAAAAGAUAUUUGGGUCAGGUAUUAAUAUGGCAUAAGCCAAGCUUGAAAAGUUCAGGAUUGUUUUAGAAAUUAGUCAUGUCUAAGACAGUCUUGUGUAACAAACAUGCAGUAAGUCUCCUUUACCACAACGACACAACCCCUCUCCGACGCCCCCACUCACACUCUUAGUGUUGGUACUAGUACAAGAGUGGGAGUAAAACAUACGGAAUUAGGAGAACAAUGGAUCCUACAUCGAAGAAGAAGGGAGCCUCAUUUUCUAAUCAUCCUACAUUAAGGGCUCAACUCAACUACCUUCAUUAAUGGUAAUCCUACAUCAGGCUGAUUAAGCGUCAGAGUAGAAUAGAUCGGUACCUCCAAUCCGAUCUCUUCAUUGACCUCGUGUAUCUUUCGUAUCAGAUAGUAGAAAUCUGUUAGGAUCAAAAACCUAACGAGAGAGAAAAGAGAUAAGAGAAGAAGAGAAUUGGGGAAGAAGAAAACUAAAUUGCAUUCAUAAUCGAUAGCCACCGAUUGAGAUAAACCCUUACAUAUAUAACCUCCUUAUCCUAGCUACCACGUGCCACACAUGUAGCUAAUUAGGGUAAUUAAACUAACUCAACUUAAUUAACCAAAACAACUGAUUAACAUAACAAGAUAGUCAAGGUCAGACUUAUUUUAUAACAAUCAUGCCCUCUCAAAACAAGCUUGUCCUCAAGCUACUUGAAAAUCUGGAAAACGAUGCCUAAUUUCUGAGCUGCCCUCCCAUGUAGCUUCCUCAACCCAAGCUCCGACUCACUGGAUCAACCAUUUUGUAACUGGUGCAUUGCCUUGCUUGAAAAUCCUUUUGUCCAAAAUACAAGCUGGAUACCAUCUAGGGUUGUGUGGAUCAAUAUCAGGAGGCAGAUGUGCAGUAACAACCACAUGAUCCCCAACUUAAUUUCUUCUUGAGCAAAGAAACAUGGAAAACAUUAUGAACCCUAGCAGUAGCUGGAAGUUUAAGUCGAUAAGCAACCUGUCCAAUCCUCUUCUCAAUCUGAAAUAGACCAUAAUAUCUUGGAGAGAGCUUGUGGUUGCUUUUUUUCUUAACUGAUUGCUGUUUAUAAGGUUGCAGCUUCAAAUAUACCCAAUCUCCUUCCUCAAAGCUCCUGUGUGUGUGAUGAUUGUCAUAGAAAUGUUUCAUUCUAGCUCAAGCCACUUCCAAGUUCCUUUUUAAUACUGCCAAAAGUUCAUCUCUGGACCUAAGCUGAGCAUCCACUAACUGCAUUGCAGUUGAGCCUGGAAUAUAAGUUUGCACAGCUUUUGGUUCAUAACCAUACAAGGCCAUAAAAGGAGACAUACCAAUGACAGAAUGGAAUGCAGUAUUAUACCAGUAUUCUACCCAAGGUAAAGCAUCAAUCCAAGAUUUAGGCUUCUCCCUAACCACACAUCGCAGAUAUUGUUCAAGACUCUGGCUCAAAUUCUCAGUUUGUCCAUCAAACUGAGGAUGGUAGGCUGAACUUUUAUUGAGCACAGUGCCUUGUGCCUAAAAGAAAGCUGUCCAAAACAUACUCAUGAAAACAGGAUCCCUAUAUGAGAUUAUAGACUCUGGCAAACCAUGAAAUUUAAAGAUAUGCUCAAUGAACAAUUGAGCCACCACUGUAGCAGUGUAAGGAUGAGAUAGAGGUAUAAAAUGUGAAUACUUAGUCAAUUUGUCCACAAUGACAGGUACCACAGAUUUUCCAACUGUUACAGGCAAGCCUUCAACAAAAUCCAUUGAAAUAUUGCUCUAAGCUUUCUCUGGGCUAUUAGGUUGCAGUAAACCAAGUGGAUUAACUGUUUCAUAAUGGUUCUGCUGGCAGACAUGGCAGGAGCUCACAAACUUUUUCACAUCUCUAUGCAUAGCCGGCCAAGCGAAAGACCUUCCGAUUCUUUUUUCAGUUCUGUGGAUUCCAGCAUGACCUUCCCCAAAUCCACAGUGAAGUUCCUCAAUAAUCUUUUCUCUCCAAUUAUCCUUUUGUGGUACAAACAACUUAUGUUUGUAAUGGAGCUGAUUGUUCACCAAGGUGUACUUGGAAUUAGUACAAGUGUUGUCUUCCAAUUUCUUCACCAUUUCCCUUGCUUCCUGAUCCAGUUUGCAAGCAUCUUGCAUAUCUAUCACAUACUGGUGAAUUGGACUAGAGAUUCCAGUCAUCACAUUAAGAGUAGCAUAUUCAGUGAUAGUGUCAGCAUCAAUUAAAUCCUCCCUUAUGGAAAGAGCAUCAGCAGCUGCAUUAUUCUUGCUAGCUUUGAAGUGGAUGGAAUAAUCAUAAACAACCAAUUUGAGUAACAAUUUUUGCUGAGCUGGUGUUGAAAUUUUCUGAGCCAAGAAAUGUUGAAUGGCCUUGUCAUCAGUGAAUAUCUUGAAAUGGUUCCCAAGCAGGUAAGGCCUCCACUGUUGCACUGCAUAUACAACAGCUAACAUGUCCUUAUCAUAAACUGAAAGAGCAACAUGCCUUCGUGCCAAAGUCUUACUUAGAAAUGCUAUUGGGUGACCUUCUUGAGAUAGCACCGCAUCUAUGCCAACUCCAGAAGCAUCACAUUCAACAACAAACUGUUUUGAGAAAUCUGGUAAUGCCAAGACAGGUGUAGUCAUCAAGGUGUGUUUCAGAUCUUUAAAGGCCUUUUCAAAUUCUGGUGACCAUUUGAACCCUCCAAGCUUCAACAUAUCAGUCAAAGGUUUGGCAAUAAUUCCAAAAUGCCUAACAUACUUCCUGUAAUAUCCUGCAAGCCCUAAAAAUCCCCUGAGACAUUUCAAAGUGGCAGGUUUAUCCCAACUUCUGAUACACUUAAUUUUAGCAGGGUCAACAACAACACCUCUUUCACUAAUUACAUGACCUAAAUACUCCACUUGUGAUACUCCAAAACUGCAUUUACUGUGCUUAACCUUCAACUCAUGUUGCUGUAAUCUCUUAAACACUUCUUCCAAAUAAGCAAGCUGAUCCUCCAAUGAAGAGCUAUAUAUUAAAAUGUCAUAAAAAAGAAAAAAACCAAAACAGAUCUCCUCAACAAUGGCCUCAGCAUUUAUGACUGAAAUGUUGAAGGUGCAUUUGUUAACCCAAAAGGCAUCACAAAAAAUUCAUAGUGUCCAUUAUGGGUUCUGAAUGCCGUUUUGCUGAUAUCAACUUCACACAUUCUGAUAUGAUGAUAACCAGAUCUGAGGUCCAAUUUAGUGAAAAUCUUAGAGCCUUGUAAAUCAUCAAGGAGUUCAUCCACCACUGGUAUAGGAUAUUUGUCCUUGACAGUGACUGCAUUAAGAGCUCUAUAGUCAAUGCAGAUCCUCCAUGUACCAUCUUUUUUCUUAACUAACAACACAAGUGAAGAAAAAGGGCUGUUGCUUGGUCUAAUCACUCUAGCUUCUAGCUAAUUGCUCAUGUACAAUUUUUUCAAUUUCAAACUUUUGAAAAUGAGGGUAUCUGUACGGUCUUACAUUAACUGGAGAGGUAUUAGGUAGUAACUCAAUUUUAUGGUCAUGUUGUCUUUUAGGAGGCAAGGAAGAGGGCACAUCAAACAAAUCAGCAUAUUUUUGAACUAGCCUAUCAAUUUUUGGAAUAGCACACUGUUUAGAUUGUGGUAAAGUUGGUUAAGCUAAACUUGGACCAUCAUGGCCUCUCUUUCUUUUUUCAAGCCUAGUCAUUGCCUUGCAACUUAUAACAGCUGCAGAGCUCCUAGUCUCACUUGCAGUUGAUAUUCUUGCCUUUCCACACAAAAUUGCAUCUUCAUAGUUUCAAAGUUCUACAAGAUGUCUCCAAGAGACCUCAACCAGCUAGCUCCCAAAACAACUUCACAACCAGUCACAGGAAAAAUAUAGAAAUCCCCAGAAAAAUCAAAACCUUGCAGGUUAAGGUGGGAAUGAACCUCACCUUUAGUCCGCAUUUUUACACCACUCGCCAACAUGACAUUUAAGGGAGCAAAAUGAUGAAUAAGAUACUUAGUACCUUUCAGCAGGGUUGGAUAGAUGAAGUUAUGAGUAGCCCCAGAGUCAAUAAGCACAUGAACCGCCUUAGUUCCAAAUUUGCCCUUCAACUGCAUUGUUUGACAAUUGGAAUUUUCAUAUCUCAUAGCUUGUAAUCUGAUUAAGGGCUCAUCAAUAUCAGUGAUUGGAGGAUUGGAAUGGACAGUUGGUUGAGCAGCUGCUGUAGCCGUUCCAUCAAAAUGUUCUAAAAGCUCAAGAGAGAUGCAUCCAUCGAAGCUUGAAACGAAGCUUUCAAAGGCCUCUAAUUGAGCAUUUGUUUCCUCCCGAUGAGACUGCAGCUCCGUUUCAAUAUGAAUGAGCUCUUCAGAAACAAUAGGAGCAUCUGAAGACGAUGACUUCACAACUGUCUUCAGUUUGGCCAUGAUCGACCAAGCUCUGGAUACCACUUGUUAGGAUUAGAGACCUAACGAGAGAGAAAAGAGAUAAGAGAAGAAGAGAAUUGGGGAAGAAGAAAACUAAAUUGCAUUCAUAAUCGAUAGCCACCGAUUGAGAUAAAUCCUUACAUAUAACCACCUUAUCCUAGCUACCACGUGCCACACAUGUAGCUAAUUAGGGUAAUUAAACUAACUCAACUUAAUUAAACAAAAUAACUGAUUAACAUAACAAGAUAGUCAAGGUCAGACUUAUUUCAUAUCAGAAUUAGUGUCUCUUUCUACUCGUGUAACCUAAGGAGUUUGGCGGUAGAAACACUCACCACAUGUUUCGGAAACCUCAAACGCCCCCACCAUCCACCCAUAUCAGUUUGACCACUUUGUUCAUCAAAAAAGCCCCAAUUUUUACAUUAACCAAACAUCAAAACUCACUUCAAUCACACAACCAAAAUCAAAAUACACGAUCUUGGUGAUCAAAAACAAAAUAGGUAUUUAACAAAUUCUGAAAACAAACACGAAAUGUGGAAAAGUUUGAAGCUUUGGUUGGUUUUUGCAUACGUGAAGAACUGAGACAAGUGAAAGAGAAAUGGGCAGCUCAGAAUGAAUAAAAAUGUUUGAUUGGGAAAUCAAAAUUGAAAAUGUGGGAUGUAUUAGGGCUUGGAGACUUGGAGCGGGGCAGAGCUUGUGGUCCUCGGCGGCGGGGGUUACAGGUUUGUAGUGACAAGCUUGACGGCGGCAACUGGGCCGAGAGAGCUGAGCUGGUUUAGCCUGAUUGGAGACAUCCAAAUCAUAUUUCCCUUUUUUUUUCUCUUUUUUUUUUAGCAAAGAUGAGUUGGAAAUAAAGUGAAACGUGUCUCUAUUUGAAUGUUGCACAAGACACGUGUUACGUUUGUCUCAUAUCAAUAAAUAAGAUCCACCAACACUCUCUCACUCUCUCACUUGUCUCAGUAAAAGCAGACCCAACGUGUUGCCAUUAAUUCCCACCUAAAACCCCAAAAUCAAAAUCAGAAGCAGAACAGGGUUGAGAGAACCAAACCUUCCAUGACCUUCCAAUCCCAAACAAGAAGAAGAAUCUUGUGAAAUCUCUAAAACCCAGUAAUGAAGCAAGAUGGCCAUCCCCGAAACCCCCAAGCUGCUCAAAUCCUCACACAAACCCUGAACCCAAUUCCCUUCGUCCCCGCCAAAUCUCUGCACAUGCAGCCCCAUCAGGAGGACCUCCUCAAGCGCCUAGGCCUCUGGGACUUUCUCCACAUCCACUUCGAUCCCUGUUUCCGGACUGAUCUCAUCGCCGAACUCGUCGCUAACUACAGCCCUCAGGCCCGGUGUAGCUUCGUGGCUGACGUCAGGGUCAGUGUCAGCCGUGCUGAUUUGGGGCGUGCAUUGAAGCUUCCGGUGAAAAAGCAGAACAAGAAUGUGGCUAGGGAGGAGUCGAAGGAGUCGAUAGGUUUGGUUGAGGAUUUGGUAGGGAAUUGGGUGCUGUUGGGAGAGGAUGAGAUGUGGGAGAUGCCCGAGGUGAUGGAGUGGUAUAAGGAUAUCGUGGAAGGGCAGUUUGGGAAUGUGGAUUGGGCGGGUUUGAUUUGGUGCAUGGUGGAGAAGGAGUUGCUUAAGGGUGAGCAAUUGGGGGAUUGUUACUAUGCGUCGCUGUUGCAGUUGUUGAUCAAGUCUCAGUGUGAGGGUUUGUUUUCGGUUGAGGAACAAGGGGCGGCUGAGGUGGAGGAAGAGAGUGGUAAAAUGGAUGAUUUUCAGGGAGGCAGAUUGGAGGAGCAUGGUAUUGGAUUGUGUCUUGAUGUUGAGCAUUUUGAGGGAGAAGAUGUGGAGAAAGUUGAUGUUGAGGGAGAAGAUGUGGAGAAAGUUGAUGUUGAGGGAGAAAAUGUGGAGAAAUAUAACAUUGAGCUAGAAAAUGUGGAGGAGAAAGUUGAUAGUGAGCAGGAAACUGUGGAGGAGAAAGUUGAUAUUGAGCUAGAAAAUGUGGAGGAGAAAGUUGAUUUUGAGCAAGGAAAUGUUGAGAAAUUUAAUAUUGAGCAAGAAACUAUGGAGGACCUUGAUGUUGAGCUUGAAAAUGUGGACAGUGUUGAUAUUGAGCUAGAAAAUGUGGAGAAAGUUGAUGUUGACCAAGAAAAUGGAGAGAAAGUUACAGGUGUAAAGGUGCUAGUUGAUCUUGGGGAUGAAUAUAUAAUGGAUACUGAAGAAUAUAAGGAGGAAAAGCCUAACCAUUGGCUUUCAGCUGGGAAGGAAAAUUUUAGGGAACCUUGUUUGCGGCGGUGUAAUCUUGAUCGGGUCAGGGAUUUAGGUUGUGGAAGUGAGAGAAAAAAUUAUAUGAAGUUGGGAGAAGAAGAAGAUGAUGACUAUGAAGAAGAGAAAGAAGAUGAUCGAGAGGGAGGUAUUGACCUUCCGUUGAAGGGUUUUUCUUUGGAGGGUUUGUCUUCAGGAAGACUUAUGCAUGUAACGGAAGGGGGUAAUAUCCCUCCAAGCUCUGGUAUGCCACUGCAUGAUCAUUUGGCCACAGAUUUUCCUUCGUCAAGGUGGGACUUAAUGCUUCCUGGAAGGUCCUCACUUUCAGGUAAUGGUCACAAGAGAGAGUUUAGCCAGGAAAAUGAUAAUUCUCAUCAUGGUCUCAAUAGUAAUAAGAGGCUGAGGACUGAUGACCCUUGGCAUAGUAAGAUGCCGGGUGACUUUGACAUGUGUAUGGAGCAUGUACAGCAGUGGAUGGAAAAAACGAAGGAUAUACAACAGUGGAUGGGGAAAGCUCGGAUGAUGUAUGUGGCAAAAGAACAGGAGUAUGAAGAUGCUAAGAUGAACCCGCAGCUUUUACUGGUAGAGUUGCAGAAAAAGGAUGAGUUAAUUGAGCACUUGCACAAGGCCAGGACCGCAGAGCAGCAGAAGAGACAUACUGAGAAGCAUAGGUUUGAGUAUGAGGUUCAUUUGAUGCAAAAUCUCUUGAAUGGCUAUAGGCAGGCCAUAAAGGCAACACAAAAGGCAUUUGCUGAAUAUAGAGCACACACUUUACAGGCUGAUGAGCCACUCGAUAGGGAUGUUCAUGGUUCUGGGGGUCUUGUUUUAAGUGCUGGAGAACUCAAAAAGCUUCGCUUAAAGCAAGAAGAAGAAGAGAGGAUGAAGCAUCUGGCAAUUGAAACAAAAAUUAAGGGCUUUGAAGCUGGGUGGAUUAGCAAAUUUGAAGGACACCACAAGAGUGUUGAAAUAGUGAGUAAUAGGUUGUUGGAUGUGGAGAAGGGAGUGAAACUUCUUAAUGAACAGCUUACAGAAAGGAGGCUUGCAGAAACAGCAGAACCUACACCAAAUGAAUCAUGAGAUGCUCGGUGAGUAAUCAAUUUGUUAUUAAAGUUCAUACGUAAAGCAAGUGCAGCUUUUUUUAGUGUUGAAGAUGCUAUUGUGCUAUGAUACAGUGUCAAUCCUACUUUUAUCUGUGACAAUAUGAUGCUGAUAGCUUUAAUCUUGUUAUUCACCAUUGUUACUUGAGUUGAUCACCUAGUAGAUUAUGGGGUUUAUGGCUGUAGCAGCCUUGUCCCUUGACCCAUUGAUGCUGUUGUAUCCCUAUUUGACAUUGAACAUUUGUAUACAAUCAUGUCCACCAUGUAAAGAGUUUAUCAGGAAUUAGAGUGCGGCAUCAUUAUCAUAAUGGUGUCUAUAGUUGCUGCCAAUUUUGUGCUCUGAAAUUUAGGAGUAAUUGGUCCAGUAGCUUACAGAGCAACUCCCAAGUAGAAGGAAAACUUUUACCCAUGGAAUUUUCAGUAUAUUAUUAGUGUUUUAGCUGCUUCAACUGUAUAAGCUACCUUCUGCUAAUAGUAGUAUACAUGGUGCCCUGUUUUCAAAGUAUUUCUACGCAGUUUAUGUGCUUCCAUGUGUGUAAUCCAUUCUUCUUGUGUUCCUUGAAAGAGAAUCUGUUUGAUGUAAAAUCAUUGUUUGAUUCGGCUGCUGGAAUUUUGAGUAAACUAUUUCUACCCAGUGUAUGUCCUUCCAUGUGUGUAACCUAUUCUUCUUGUGUUCCUUGAAAGAGAAUUCUGUUUGAUGUAAAAUCAUUGUUUCUUUUACCUGCUGGAAUUUUGUUUGAAGAUUUUGAGUAAACUGUUAGAUAAUUUUGAUUUAUGCAACUGGUAUUAGAUUUUAAUCACUUUGUUGUUUGAUGCAGGUUGGGGAGUGUUCAGUUCUACAAAUUUAAUUUAGAGGCAUGUAAAUCAGGAAAAGUCAACUUCUUUGGCACUAACUUUUGUUUGACUGGUAGCGGGCUUUAUAUUACAGGUCAUCUGUUUUGGGGAUUUUCGGAUUCCUAAUGCGCGAGGAACAAGUUGUUUGCCUCCAUUUAAUUAUUGUAAUUUAUAUGCUAAUGAAUCUUGGAAGAUCUGUAGUUUAUGUUCUGCUACUUCGUUCUCCUGUUGCAUUCAGUUGUUGGUCAUUAUUCUACUACUAGCUGAAUCUCCUGUAGUUUAUAUUUUAUGAUCCCAUAUGCCUGAGACUGCUUUUGGUCAGCCUUCAUGCUCAAGUAUCUAUAGUGUUUAGAUACUCUUGUCACUUGUCAGUCUGUUGUUUUCUGUUUUUUGGAUAAUGUUUGCUUCCUAUAGACCUUAAAUCUUUUUUUUUUUUUUAACAAUUUAAAGAAAAGGUGAUGGCCUUUAUGCAUAUUUUGGAAUGGAGUAUGUUAUUACUCAUAGCUGGAUCUUUUAGUGCUGUUGCACUUCUUGAAGUGAGAGUAAGAUUGGGGGCAACCAGAUCCACCAGUUCCUAAAAUCGUAGUUAGAGCCCUUUUCAGCAAUGGUAGCCCUCACCAUCGCUUGCUGAACAAGUCUCGGUAAGUUUUGAAUCUCUCCAGUUUGAACAUGACGGCAGUCGGUACUUUUUCUUGUUUAUGAUUGAUGAUGUUUAUUUGAUGCUUUGCUAUAUUAUCUUCUUUUUUCUUUUUAUUAUUGUUUUUGAAUUUUUAGUAUUGUCAUGACUGAAGUUUGGGAUUGUUCCUGCAAGUGUGGCUGCCAGUUUGAGUUUGUCUGGUAUAAAUGUGGAUUCUUUUAGUUCAUUAUGAUAUUGAAGUUCUAAUCUUUGUUUGUUAGUUGAAUUGACAUGUUUACUUUAUUUCUUAUUAUAAUGAUCAUAUAGAUUAUGUAGUAAUACAGUGCCAUUUUGGUUAAGUUGAAUCUGCUUUUUUGAAAUAUAGCCUCUGAGAUCUCAUUUUUGUGUUUUAAAUGCAAAAAAAUUGUACAAAACCUGCUGUUGCAUUUAUUUUUAUAAAAGAGGGACACCUUGAUCUGUUUAAAGUCUCCACAAUUUCAUUGCUUUGGUACUCUUUUUGUUUUUUUUAUUUUUUGUUUUUUUUUAUUAUAGCUUUGGUACUCUUAUGAUAAAGUUGACAUGUAAUAAAAGAUGCAAAGUAAUCAUGGACUCGUGAAGGGCAUGAUAGCAGAGUGGAGACUUGAUGUUAUGAAAGAAUCUGGAUAAGAGGUAACCCUUUCAAAAGUUCUGGUGUCCACGAGUUUGCUAUUGAGUAGAUAUCAGGUUCCAUUAACCUUUGAGCAUAUAGAGCUGGAGAUGUGUAAUUUGAGAGCAGUCUGUUAUCAUUUUAAGUUUCUUUCUUUCUUUAUCAUAUAGAAGUUUGUAACAAAGGAAACAAAAACAUAGGAACCUCACCAUUUUUAUGAUGAGGUUAUAAAAUGAGGUUAUGUAUCCUUAUCGUAUUGUAUUCGUAUCACAAGUAUACAUGGGCGCAAGGCACUCUUAUUCAACUAAAACAUAUUUGUAGCAUCACUACCUUCAGAUGGCCAACCACUCUUGGAUACAACUAUCGCCGUAUUGGGUGCACCUGCUUUUUCAAGAACAGAGUAAUGAGUAUCCAAGAUAGCAUUAAAGAUGUUCGGGUACCCAUUGCCAUCCUGUACCACUACCCCUGGUGAAGUGAACAAGGCAUAUUCUAGUUUUAUGUUAGCAGGGUCACCAAUAUAGGCGUAGGGGUGUAUAUUGACACGAAGUAGUGCUCCAUUGUUGCCCAGAAAGGUGAUUAUUAGGGUAAUAAAUGAAUUCGCAGCAUUGCUGAAUGCCCCAUUUGAAGAAGGGAAACUAGGGCCCAAAAGAGUUGUAUCUAUUGCUGUUGACACUUUGAUUUGGCCUUGUAGAUAAGCGGCUGUUACGGUAUUCUGAAUAUUCUGUACGACAGGAAGAAGAUAUUGGGAGGGCUUCUGCAGCAUCAGGGUGUACUUCAUUUCCAACGGCAUUGUAUUUGAACUUGACAUCAGCCGAGUAGGGUUGCACAUUUUUCUGGACUCAAUCUGUAGCUGCUGCAGUAUCGCGCUUGCAGGUUGUUGUUGAGGAUGGUGACCAUGAGUUCUAUGUUGGAACUUCUAAGGGCUUCCAAAGGUUGCUUGGUCUGGCUCGUAAAUCUUCAUCCUUACAAUUCCAUUGCUUUUGUACAAAUCUACGACUUCUGUGUCAGAAGGUAAAUUGUUGCCAUUUCGUCCAUAGCAGACACCCGCAGAUUGUGCACCUGAAACAAGCAUGCAACAAAAUUGAAGGGGAGCAGAUUGCUCGAGCUCCGACAAAAUUCGGGCGAACUCCGGGAAGCAGACAUACACUUUUUUCUUUGUACAGCAUACCAUAUAGUGGAACAUAAAUACUAAAUGAACCACAAAUUGCUAUUUGAUUUGGUAACAUGGUUAAAGAGAUCACAAUGACUACAUGCAAACUCAAGUCUGAUUGCUACCCAUAUUGACUUCUACCUAGUUAUCAGAAAUGCUCACUUUCGUAUAACAGAAAUGCUCAAGUGACUCACGUUGAAUAACAGAAAUAACAAGAUAUAACAAUUGGUGUCCAUAACUUCUUUCUCAUGCUGUAAGUUGAAGCAAAAAGGCACAAUAAGCAAUUAAGCAGCAGGAAACUGCAGCUCAACAAAAUAAAACCCAUGGGAAUACUUUCCCGGCAGCUUAAUGAUACCUGCUCGCAUGCAUCAUAUACAACUUACUGGUACCUAUUCACUUCCAACCAGCUAAAUGGUACCUAUUCACUUCUCAUAUACUAAAGUGAUCUUUGCAUCGACAUCUGCUCAGAAUUCAGUGGACAUCUUAUGUAUCACUGUUCUAGAAGGACUCCUUCCUUUACUACCUGUACUAAUAUUCAUAGAGAACCACAUUUUACAAAAAUAGAGUAGCCCUAGAAUUCAAAGUCUAUAAAAAAACUACUGUUCUGCGGAAUAAAGCUCAAAGAACAUAAGACUAAUAAGAGGCAAGGAGAGAGGAAGGUCCAUGAAUACAGGUGAUGGAUUUGAAGAAAGAGGCAGGUGAAAUCCAGAUGAAAGGGAAAAGAAAAAGACAAACUAAUGUAGUGAAGUCCAUGAUAUGGAGAAGCAUACUACGAUUUCUCUCCUUCAGGACAUAUCUCUAUGUUCGAAAGAUACAAUCAUAAAACUAAAACAAUGACAAAACUAUACAUCUCCAAAAACAAGUCCUUCAGAUAUGUUAAGCUGCAUUGGCAACCCUCCCAAAACAAAUAAUAUAACUUCUACAUAAGAAAACAAUGGGAAUUCCCUCAAUCAACAACUGGGUAAUACUAAUUUCAUAGACUAUCAACAAAACAAUUCCAGCCCUUUAUGGAAGGGAUACAGAAAAUGAAAAAAUAUAGAGUAAAUGAUAAGUUUGAAAACAUCAAACAUUUACCAAGCAGCCAUGUUAAUAUAAUAACAAACACUCACCCAGUAGCAACAGCUUUCAAAUAUAUGAUACACAUAGAAGAUGUUCCAUUACACACAGAAACAAACAGAAAGAUCAUUCCUUGACAUCAUCCAAUGGAAUCAAAGAGUAUGACCACCGACAAAGCACAUUUGAAAUUCCACUACACAAAAUAAUCACUAAACAGAGGGACACUUUACCACACAGUGGGCAUGAAAUGGGGAUGGG
rnacentral:lncRNA from 1 species